UUUUUUUUCGUAAUAAGGAGGCACUUCCGGUAGGUCCGAGCUGACAGGGGGGGGGGGCAUUUUUUCACGAAAUACGGUGGUCCGUCCUAUGGGUCCCAGCAGUCAGGGGGAACUGUUUUUUUCGCGAAAUACUGGUGACCCGUCUGGUGGGUCCCUGCUGUCAGGUGGAGGAAUAAUUAUUUUCUGUGUAAUAAGGAGGCACUUCCUUGCGACCUCUUGGACCCAGCUGUCAGCCUCUCCACGUACAGUACUCUUCCGAUGGAAGUCGGUCAUUGACCACAUUGACCACGCCGCGCCGAGAGCACCAGGGCGGAGGUCUGGACGAUGGCGAGGCCUAGGAAGGGGACGACGCGGAGCCGGGGAAGACGCAGUAGUGGUAGCCCAUGCGGAGAGGAGUAUGAGGGUUCACUGGUUCGGCUACCGUCGCUGCAGAAUAACAGGGGGGUGGGUGAGUAGAGGGAUGUCCUGGCCAGCGGUGGGAGUAGUACGGGGCGGUGAGGCCUCCGCGGCAUCACAGCCGGCCACGGGAGGCAGGAGCACGCGGCACGACCGGCGCUAAUUUGGGCGGCUGGAGCAAGAAGACCAGAGGUUAAAGAAGCACUACGGCCGUUGGAUGGACAUCGUACGAUCACUGCAGCUAGAAUCGUUUAUAUUGACUAAGUUGACAAAGCCCUUGGUACGCGUCAACUUAGUAGGCCCACAGCUCGGAUUUGGCAGAGAACAUAUGGCCCAUUUGCGAUUUGUAAGAAUGUACAGCCCAUUUUUCAAUUCUAAUGGAAUUUACUACAGCCCAUUUAUGGGUUUGAUAAAAGUACAACCCAACUUCUACGUAGGACAAUGAUUAAUAAUUUCAAACAACCGCUCAAAACAGAAUUAAAAAAAAUCCCACAUUUUGAUGGGAUCCGAAAUAUUUUUAUCCGAAAUUUCUAGUCAGGUUAAAUAUAAUUUCAAAAUAAAGUUGUAUCAUGUUAAAAUCCAAUGAAAUAUUGCGCGCGCAACAAGUAAUGAAAUUAAAUUUUCUAAAUUCCAAUAAUAAUAUAUUUUUCAAACUAAUUACGUGUUUGGUGCAUAGUAAUUGCCCAGUUAUUAUAAUUACAUCCCAUUUAUUAUUUCUUAAAGUCCAUUUUCUUGUUAAACCUAAUGCAUACCUCCUAGGAAACUUUGCAGCCCCAGUGGGGCGGAUAACAAGUUGACCCGGAUAUUGUGUACAACUGUCGGCCCAGUUGCAUUGCUGAUGUUGAAAAAAAAGGCUUGUGUAGUACAGUACAACCUAACAUGGUUACUCAGCCCAUAUUCAGGGACACCGGAAAGGCCCAAACAAGGCUUCUGUACAACUUUUUGAAGUCACUGAGCCCAAUUAAUAACUUAAGAAAAAAGUUAGAUUACAGUGGAACCUAAUUAGAAGCUGUCAUGCGCAAAUAAAUAAUUCAAUGGGUCCCACUUGUGCGUGUGCACGCGUGUGUGUGUGUGCAUGUGCGUGUGUGUGUGUGUGUGAGAGAGAGAGAGAGAUCCAUCGGUCGAUGCUCGUAAAUACAUCUUUCAGCCAUAUGCAUUGCUGAUGCUCAGUAAAAACUUAUAUAGUUGACACAAUCAUAUAGAACAUCAUAGCACACUGAACUUGCAUACAAAAAUUUCACGCAGGCGGCACAAUCAGGAUGGAAGCAGUGGAUCGCUACGGGAAGGUCUAUGUUGAAACCAACGAAGUCGUACAUAACAGUUCAUCGUCUUUAUAAAUGACGGGGAAAUAUCUUGAAUGUUGUGCAAAGAAAACAGAUAGACAACACAAUAAGUUCUGCUAGCACAUUAAGUUGACGUACAACCCUUUAUAAAAAAAGUUCAGGUACAAAAUUAGAACAGGUCACAAUCAAAUGUACUGGCAUAUCAGUGCUUCAGUCCCAUAGCUCGGAUUUAACUAGUACUAUCUGACAAGAUUUAGUUGUUACCUCAAAUUAGAGCACAUCCAGGCAGCCAGCCCUGCCUCUUCUCCCAGAGAAGCAGUGGCCUCCGUCGCACGAUGGAGUAGGCCCUGUGCCAUCCAUCAUUUCGAGCAACACGGGGAAAGUCUGACGUUGACUCCUGUAAUGGACAUCGUUGACAGACCCUGGCACCAGCGGGGGCGGCAGGACUUCGAUUGAUGGAUUGACCACUUCUUCGACAUGCACGGACACUUGAUACAGGUACAUACCUAACAUGGUCCGCGGCGGCCUUGGUGGAGACGAAUAGUACAACCCCGGUUCCUGCACCGAUAUCUCAACACCAAUCACCUUCGGUAUGGUGGACGGCUUCUUCAUCCAUGCUAUAACCGUCAGAGCCCAGUUGUCCGGACGAACAAACAUACUUACGAGCUCACCUCCAAGGUCAUUGAUAAGCUCGUUCAUGGACUCGCUAUUCCAAGCACGUCGAGGCAUGCCGUGGAAGGUAAGCUUUGUUAAAAACUCAAGCUCAGAGGGCACCGAGCCCCAUCCUAGGUGCCACCAAUCAAAGCUCACCAGCGCACCAUCGCAGAACAAACGCUGGGAAGAUUCGAACACAGGAUUGUAGUUGAAAGUUGUUCGGAACCUGACGAAGAAAUCAGCCGAUGGCGGACAGACUUCGACGAGCAAGUCACUUAUUUGGAUGCCGUGCGCAAUGCCAAGAGCUUUGACAAGGUCGUCCGGAGAGACGGGAGGCCGGUCACCGUUGAUGGUUACCAUCAGCACUUUGCCGGCAAACUGGUCGUCAAGCGCCACCAUGCCAAUAUUGAGCGACAGCACGCAGUGACCAAAGGCAGGACGGACCUCACGAUCUCCGGCUCAGAGAUCCGUGUUGAUCGGCGACAUGAUAGUGCACUUGAGUACAGGGAGUACAGGAGGGGGAUUUGGGGGAACUGGAGUAGGAAUCGAGAUUCCAGAGGUGGGGGAGGGGCAGGAGACUGGGGAUGAAAAGGUAGCAUGAAUUUCGAACACAGCCAAUAUGCUCUCAGCGCGCAAGCACACAAAAACACCGGUGGCGCCCACAUGUCGGCUUAAGAGUCCUUAUUCUUUCUUUUUUGGAGAGCCCGACCUUUUUUUCAGGAUCUUUUGAGAGCCCGGCCCGAGAGUCAUAAUUGACCUAUUUGGGCAUUGCAUUACUACUCGGCCCAUAUUCAACGACACCUCACUGGCCCAAACAAGUGUACAUCAUCGAAAAGACAGUGAGCUCAAAUUAUAUAACUUGAAAAAAGGAGAUAUACUCUGAACACUGGAGAAUGGUGAUGCCCUCAUUUAGCCCACCAGUAGUUCGAGACAAUAAAAGGUUCGAAACAACGAUAUAUACAACAUUCAAACACUAACUAGUGACUACUACUGACAUAAACAGCAAGACAUGAUAGUUCAUAAGAAGUCUUGCUACACCACCAAAACGUACCCAUCUGCAGCGCUUAGACUCUCAUGAUCCAGACGAGAAUGACAUUCUAAACAGAAGCAACUAUUACAUAGAAAGAGUGACAUAGACGAGGAUGACCAAAUGACAAGGAAUAUGCAUAACAAAAGAAAGAACUACCCAUCCAGAACCAGCAGCAAAGACAACAAAGUCAUUCGAAGAGAUGAUCCAACACCAUCUUAAUUUGCAGCCCCGCUUCAGCGACCAAUGAUCCGGAGACACCAGUACUCCACCCUUUCGAUGCAACAACCCAAUUACCUAUCAACCUGAAGGCUUGAACCACAUCACUGCCUGUCGUAGUUGAGACAUCCAAGGAUCAAAGUUAAUCCGGAUGCCUUUGUCAUUCUCACCUUCUUUUGGCUGCAGGCUGUAUCAUUGACAAUCAAGGGAGUAUGCUCCCGAACUCCUAGGGCUCGCCAUGUAGACACGGUUUUCCAUAGCAAACAGAGCCUCUCUGCCAUCAAGGUCCUUGCCAACGGUGAUCUCCUGGUUAAUCGGAUAAUUGAGUCCGAGAAACAGAUAGUGUGAACCAAGGCUGUUUACCCACCUCCAACUAAAAAAUCCUAAAGGCCCCAACAAGCUGGUAUCCUACUCAUAGACGUAACAGCCACUGUCCGGAUACUCACUUAUUACACGGUGAUUGUAUACAGUGGGGUUUUUGCAAUAUAACUUUUCCGGCUGAUGUGUUCGAAUGAUCAUCAGUCUUUUGUCGUCGUCUGAUCGAGCGAGGAACCAGUUGUGCUUCCUUGUUUUUGGCAAAGGUGGUGUAAUUACAAAGGGCAGUAACUGUAGGGACACUGCAUCAUAUCAAAAAGGACAAGCAUUGUUAAUGUAAGAUCAGCAUUGUUUAGAGUAUGAGUAGGAUAAUGCAAGAAACAACAUUGAUAUGUCCCUGUUGGAACUGGGAGGAAAAUACAGGGAAAUGUAUACUGGGUUCGAAAAUAUAGAAGUGCCAUGCAUGGUUAUACUCAUGUUAUCUCGCAAUCGAUUCUUCACAGGAAACUACCAUGUCAUGCAUGUUAUGUAAUCAUGUUCUGUCCUCACAAACAAAUUCUUCAAGGUAAUUAACAGACCAUGCAUUGUUAUAUACUCGUGUUCUGUGGGCAAAAAAUUUGUGAGGAUAUUAUUCUAGUCAUUGAUUGCUGAAGGGCGAAUAUAGGUAUGUACACAUGGUAAGCAUUGCAGGAUUUCACUACUUCCAAAUAUAGAGUUCUCCAUAUGCACAUUUACUUCCCUAAUGUAUGGUUAGAUGAAACCAACAGUGUGGUGCAUGUUUCUACAUCAUGAAAAUGAGGAAACUAACAUGGCCAUUGAUACACACUCAUAUUUAGUAGUAGUAUAUAGAUUAUUGUAAAAUAAGGAUAAUAUCCAUAUAUUCCUAACCGUUUGAUUAUUCAGGGUACAAAUUGGCUGUAAUGACAUGGUCACAAUCACAUGAAUUAACUCAUUCCAAAUAUAGCUGAUUUACGGCGUCUCUAAUAUAUUGCCAUAGUUCUACUCAAAUUCUUCUCAAACAGGGAUAUGCCAAUCAUCACAAAAAGUUCAAACAGUGUCAUGGCGUCAUCAUUAACAUGAGACGGAAACAACUUACAUGCGCCGUCCCAGCAAUACGUGGUGACAUCUGCUUUGUCGAUCGCGUAGAUGAUGCCAUUGUGUUCAAUAGCAUCAUGGAAGUGUGUAUCAGCUUUGACGAUGAUCCACUGCGAGCUGGGUUCUCUCCAGCUAAAGAAGGCACUGGCGCAAAGAUAGGCGAGUCCGCGGUCGAACAAGGCAAUUAGCUUGAAGUCUGUGUAAUUCGCAUGUCGUGUGGGGACUUGGCAGAUUACAAUCUUCUGCAAAACAAGGUCCGUCCAACUGACGUGGUAAUCUAGAUGAGUUGGACCGCGAUGGUAAUGCUCUAUAUAAUCCAACGGAGGAAGGAUAAUCUCAUGGGAGGUUUGGAAGUUCACGAGCACCAACUUUUUACCGUCUUCUCUGAAGGCAGCCAUCCAGUGGGAGUUCAUGCCAACCCAGUACAUACCUGCCAAGAAGUUUUGGGCGAUGGUGAUCGGAUCGAUGUCGAGGGAAAUGAUGUACGGCGACACACUACAUACCUUCAAAGCAGUUUCGGCUAAUGGAGAUCGGAUUGAAGUCGAGGGGCAUCAUGCACGCCUCCGUAUCAUGGUGAGCCGAUCUCGCAAGACCAGAUAGCAGCAAGCAGGGUGUCUUGAAAAGCUUAGGCCUCGCUUCGACGAUGGCCAUGUGCAUGUCCCUCGAGCAUGCAGCCAGCCGCAGGGCGGUCAACAUAUCCAUACACGAACAACAGAGGUCGAGGAUGUCACUGGGGACAUUGCUCCAAUCGCGGCUCAUAUGGAUGCUGCGCGAGCAUUCGGCCAUGGUGGAGUUUGGAAGGGGGCCUGAUUUACGGGGGAGAAGGAUGUCAGUGCUGGAGCAGCUAGCAAGGGAAUAGUGGUACUGGGGGAGGCGAGUGAGGUGAUGGUACACGGGGCACAGUGAGAUGGAGACGGAGACAGAGAUGGAGAAGGAGAUGGAGAUGGAGUGGUGCUAUGGGAGCGGAGAGGGAGACGAGGCGAGGCGCCAAUGUGCUGUACAGUGGCGGUGACAGACUGCACAAUGCACAGGGUGAGGCUGACUUUGGUAUCCCGAACACGCCGCCUCGCCUGGACUAGUGUCAGGCGCAGGGUGUUGUCACUUCACUGUGAGGACCAGAUGAAUAGUAUUUUGACCAUCAAGUGUACCACAGUUGUACUACUACUACUACUAGUAGGAACAUGAGUACUCUAGUAUUGUAUAGCAGAAAUAGGUCUCCCGUGCAAGCAUGCCUGUUCACUUCAUCGUUCAAGUAUCAUCCAUAUUGCGAGCAGAACCAAAUUCUCGUGCAUGCCCAAUCAACGCCCUGCCGUGAUGCAUGCAGUGGUCGUUCUGGUGCAUCAAGGACGGCAUGCAGAUCGUUCCACACUUGAGAAGAGGAAAAAUGGAAAGGUAGAACGCGGCAGCAGAGGAAGAGAACGCUGGCUAACGAGGCUGGGAGGGGAUCGAGCAGGAAGUUAAUGCUCCACGCCUAAAGGUUUUGGGAAAACCUGAUUUUCAUAAGGUGACUUAUACUCACCUAAAUGGAGGGAGUAUUCCUUAACCAGAGAAUGUUGUGUCUCCCACUCACGGGCUCAAAAAAAAGCUACGGCACAUUUUUUUAUCUGUUUGCAUAGGUCCCACCUAUCAGGAAGGAUGGGCACGUACAUGAACAGGUACGACUCCUCAGUCUACCCACAUAGCCUUUUCGUUUAGUCUACCUAGCUGUCUAAUCAACUGCCUGCAUGCCACUUCUCCCAUUUACUUCUCCAUCAGGAACCGAUUCGCCUCGGCUUCUUCACCUCCCCUUCGUCUUCAUUUGCAUCCAAACCCCACUGCAUUCACAUUGUUUUAACCUCUUCAAAUAAUCAUCUACUACUUCAGUUAGACUAGCCAUCUAAUCCUAAUUCUCCAAACCAUAGCCCUCCGUUCCAGUGGUUCCAAAUGGCAAAAGAGAUCGAGAUGCAGGUUUUUAGCGUCCAACAUGUCCUCCUCGAAGGCUCGAUGCGCAUAGUUGCCACCGUCACCGUCCACCCAAGGGUUGUUUGGUAGUGGAUUAAAAAUGUAUCCAACUCCCUCAAAAAGGUAGAGACGAGGGUCAUCGGUCUCGACACAGAGUACACGGAGAGUGCCCCUGGGAAGAUCCAGCGCGCCGCCGUCCUUCAGCUGUGCCUCGAAGAUGAUGUUUUGGUGUACCACAUCAUACACUUGCCCUCCAUACCAGGUGAGCUUCACGAUUUCUUGUCUCGGGAGGACGUAUACUUCUGUGGGGCAGCCAUCGAAGGGGACAAACAGAAGCUGGAGCCGUACAACCUUGAUUUGAAAAGCAUCGCUGACCUACAAACCAGAAUCAAAAUUCCUGUAGAAGAUUGUGCUAAACAGACACCAUCCCUAUUCGACGUAGCAAAUUUUGUGCUCGGUACAAAUCUUCAGAAGGGUGAUGAGACUGUGUCAUUAAGGUCAUCUGGAUGGGAGAAUUAUCCCUUGACGUACGAGCGGAUAAAAAUAUGCUUCCCUCGAUGCCCGUGUGAGUUUCGAGAUAGCUGCAAGGUCCAAAGAGCUUGUUGCGAAGCCGUCUCCCACAGAGAAUGAGAACAAGAAGAAGAAGAAGAAGAAGAAGAAGAAAAUGCUGCACCAGCAGGAGGGCAUUAUGGAUAGAUGAACUAUUUCCUCUCUUGUAAAAAAAAUAUUCCCUCUCGGUGUAUAUUGAUAUAGAUGGACUAUUUCGACGGUGUGCAUGUCUUUGGAACAGAGUAGUAGCAUGGGUCCGCUUGACUAUAAGGAAUUAUUUAUCCGCAUAUAUAGCUUUCUCUGCUACUCCUUCUAGUGAUCGGUAUACAAUGCAUGUGUCCGUAGACAUGACAGCUUGUCCAUGGAAGUUCAACUACGGCGACCAUCACGUUUCAUCUCGCGAUUCCCACGACGCCUCUCCAACCCACGGCACCACGCCCCCCGACGUGCGUCUCACCCCUCUCGGCCGCACCGCCCCUCUGCCUUUGUGUGCAUGACAUGUGGGCCACCUAAAAUGCGGCGAGCAUCAAGUUUCUACCACAGCCACCCACGAUUCCCACGACACCGCUCGAAUCCAUGAAACCACACGUCCCCCGACCUGCGGCUCACCCCUCUUGGCCCCACUGCCCCUCUGCCUUCGGGAGCAUUACAUGUGGACCAGUCACCUAUCGGGUCGACAUGUUUUUGACUCAAAGGUAGGUGUAGUAAGGCGCUGAAGCUCAGUCCCGACGGCCCUGAGAGGGAAAUGUAACUCCUGUGCCAGGGCUUGUGGUGCUCCCGCAGCACGAACUCGUGCCAAACUCGAUAUUUGUUUCUUUACUAUACAUGCACGCAACGAUUUAAUGGACAUUGUAAUCUCAACAUGUGAUGGGGAGCUCUAAAUUUGAAUUUGAAACUUAUAAAACGAAAAGAUUCAAAACAAAUAAACUGGGAGAGAGGGAAUAUAUCGUAGGAUGUGUCCCAUACAAAAUAAGUCCCCUGGUUUGUCACUGCGAAGAUGCAGUUAGAAAGGAGCACAGCGUCUUCCUACUUGUACGGCAACAAAUCGGCCGCAGACAGCAUAGUCCGCCUUUGACCGCCAUGUGCAAGGUUCGUGCUAUCUUUUAUUCAAUAUCACUGUGGUUCCAUCGUACCAAUUCAUGCGGUGUCCCGUUGCAUGGCUGAUCCCAAUGUUGGACAAAGGUUCUACGAGAACGGUGUCACCGUUGUAAAUGUUGUGCAAAUUGAUGUUGGUACCCUCCCGUACAUGUGCAAGCCAAUCUCCACUCGCACCGAGCCUAGACUGUGAAAUAGUGGGCAGGGGGAGAAUUAGGGAAUGGACACGAAAGUAGUCUUUAGAAUGCAUUUACUACAUGAUCAAACUCAUCUUACCUGCUCAUCGGAGGAAAUCCGAGUGCCCCUCGACGUUGGCAUCUCAAGGGGCAUCAACUUGCAACUAUGGCCACACCGCGCUGGAGAGACCCCCAAGGAAACAUCCUCGUGCGUUCCACGGAACAUCAAGAUGCAUUUGUAUGAGUAGUUUAUCUUGUGAGAGAAAAGGAUGAACGAGGGAAGGCCUCUAGAGAUAGAGAUGGACACUACUACUACCAAUGUGCUGGCCCGUGCGUUGCAAUGGAUCCAAACUAGUAGAAUAAUACUUGUUCACGUGCUUGAAAUAUAAACACUCUAGUUUUGAUAUACAGGUGUCAGCAGACACGACAGCUUGUCCAUGGAAGUUGAACCACGGCGACCAUCAUGUUUCUUGUUUCUACCACUGCCACACCCACACGCAAUUCCCACGACGCCGCUCCAACCCACGGCACGAUGUCCCCCGACGUGGACAUGGAUCCUCUGACGUGGCUAUCACUGCCUUGCCCUGCCUUUCCUUCACUGACAGGUGGGACCCAUGCUUAUGGGUCCCACAUGUCAGUGACAGAAUGGUAGGAUUGUUCGUGCUCCUCAUCCCUCUCGGCCCCACCGCUCCUCUGCCUUUGUGUGCAUGACAUGUGGGGCAGCUGAACUAUGGCGACCAUGAACUUUCUACCACAGACACACCCGAUUGGACGUGGUUUGCCUGCUCCAAUGCUGUGCUCCGAUCCGUACUACUGCACCAUCAAAUUUUCAUCUAGAGGCUGUGACACAUUUCGUCCCAGGCAUCAAUCCUCAGCUGGAGUACUUAUGUACUACAGGUAGUACCCGCCGGUGUGGCCAUCUACGCCUCGUAACACCCCGACGCCCAGCUGUGGUACCCUCGCCACGACCACGCCACCACCGGCCGGUUCAUCUUGAACGAGUGAGUCGCGAACCACGCCACCACCAUAAGAAUGACAUGUGGGCCAGCCGCAUUUAAGGCCCACAUGUCAUUGACUCAUAGGCAGGGCACUAAGCCACCGAAGUUCGGUCCCAUGGGCCCUGAGAGGAAAAUGUAACUCCUGCGGCAGGCCUUGUGGUGCUCCCACAGUACGAGCUCGUGCCAAAACUAGAAUUUGUUUCUUACUACUACUAGUACUAGUAGGAAGGUACACGUGCAUUGCACGCAUGAGAUUCUGGUGGCUUGUGCAAUAUGCUUCUACAUGUGGAGUUUUCUGGAUUCUAACAUGUGGCAAAAUUUGGUGGAAUGUAAGGUUAGGCAAGUUUGAUUAACUUAGGUGAGUGUUUGGUUCAAGCCACACCUUAGGCAAGCCACACUGGCCCCACAUGACAUACACACACAAAAUGUGAAAAGAUUCCCUUAGGCUUUCCAACUUGUGGCAAAAUUUGGUGGAAUGUAAGUCUAUGCAAGUUUGAUUAACUUAGGUGAGUGUUUGGUUCAAGCCACACCUUAGGCAAGCCAAACUGGCCCCACAUGACAUACACACAAAAAAUGUGGCAAGAUUCCCUUAGGCUUGCCAACUUGUGGCAAAAUUUGGUGGAAUGUAAGGUUAGGUAAGUUUGAUUAACUUAGGUGAGUGUUUGGUUCAAGCCAUACCUUAGGCAAGCCACACUGGACCCACAUGACAUACACACAUAAAAUGUGGCAAGAUUCCCUUAGGCUUGCCAACUUGUGGCUCUCAUUUUGAAGAACUUAUUAAUAACUUUGCCUGAGCUUAGUUGUGGCAAAGUUAGUCAUGAAUUAAGUUCAACCAUGGAGUCUUUUAGAUUAUACAUGUGGCAGAAUCUGGUGGAUGAUAUCCAAUGGCCAGUAGUGCUCGGAUUUUCCAUCUUUGUACCGUCGGAUUGGCUUCAUCCAACGACCAACUUUCAAAGUUUUUCACACACUAUAUAGGGGGUAUAGAUAUAGAUGUGCCGGUCCAUUGCAAUGGAUCCAAAGUAUAUCUAUUUAGUGGAGUGCACUCUAAACACAUUAUCUAUUUAUUUAUCUCUAACCUUCCAUAGCCAUGCAACCAAGCCACAAAAGCUUCAUGGGUGCCACCCACAUCAUAUCAUUCAUACUACGUUGAUUGAAAAAAAGAUAAAUCACCCAAAACAAGAUCUUCUCGUUUUUGGUUCAUACGAUGUUGUGCCUUGCAUGUAUCUACUAGUUGUAUAGUGGUAGUACUAGUAAUAUAACAGUAUUAGGAGUACAAACUUGGUAGGAGUGGUAGUAAUACGGAAUGCUCCUACUCUGUCAACGAGCCCCGUUUGACACAAAAUUUCUUGGCUUCCGUGCUACAACUAUAUCUUCCCCUUGUUUCUGUUUUCCAACCCGGCGGCGGCGGGGUGUCAGUUUGCUCAACGGGCGGUCCCACAUGAAAGUGAAAAUGCUAGGCAAGCAACACGCCUUCCCUAAGCUAUGUGUCGUGUCGGACGGGUCGUGUUGUACUCCUGAUUCCCGGGCGUGUGGGGGUGCGACGCGAACGUGGCAGGCCUUUUCCUUUUACUAGCAAUGUGCCUGUGCGUUGCGAUGGAUCCAAAGUAGUAUAAUAGUAGUAUUUGUUCACAAACUUGAAAGAAAUCACUAUUGUUUUGAUAUACUCCUAAUAUAUUACUCCCUCCGUACCUAAAUAUUUGUCUUUUUUGAGAUUUCAAAUGGACUAUCACAUACGGAUUAUAUAGACAUAUCUAGUGUUUCUAGCAAGAUGCCCGCGCGUUGCACGAAGUUGAUGGAAAAGGUAAGCACAACUUACAAAUUGAUGGAUGGAGUACUAGUUACAGCGGUGCAUAUAAUUUAGCAAAGGGAUCGCACAUGUCGGUAUUGACUGGAAUGAGAAUGCAACAGCACAAUAAGAACUAAGGCCACGUUGAUGCGAUCGUAGUGGUGGUUACAGAAGGCAAGAAGAAAGAUGGAUCCACGAACGUACGACCUCCUCCUCCUCAACUUAGUGCGCCGGGCCACCGUCCGGCGGCUAAGGAGCGGCGGCUUUUGUGGCGAGGUCGAGGUGCUUCUCAACAAAGGCAUCCAAGGCUUCCAGCUGGUUGAGGAAGGCCAACGUCGUAGCGUCCUCACUGGCCUUGUAGAUACCUAUGUACACGAUUUGGUCGUACACGUGGAUGUGUAGGUCGACGAAUUCUUGCAGGGCGAGGCACCUCGCAGCGAGCGCGACCUCUAGGUGGACAUUCUUCGUGGCGUCGGCGGGCAGUCGCAGGGCCACCAGUGCUUGAAAGAGGUUCCGGCCAUGGAGGUCGAUGAGGGUGGCAGGCAAUGAGGAGCCCGAGCGCGCGGGCUGGAGGAGUACGACGAUGUUGUCCGCGAGCUUCUUGAGGAUGGUGAACUUGUUGCUGGUGGCAAUGAUCAUCUGGUCCAACUGAGAGUCGUAGUUGGCAUCGACGGCAGCCAUCCACCAGCCGGUCUCCAACACCGUUUGGAGACGAUCCUUGGCGCCAUGCCGCAGGCCGGCGUCGUGGACCAUCUGGCGUAGCCGCUGGCCGCUCACGUGCAUCGCCGCCAUGGGUCUAGAGCGAGCUCUUUUGCGCUUAGUGUAGGUGCUUAGGCAAGUGCUUAGGUGCGUACGAUGUGGCAGAUGCAUUGGAAUGGAGGAGGGGUGCCUUUAUAUGAGGGCAGUGAGGGCAAACUGCGUUGCAUUCACAUCGUGCAGCCUCUUUUCCCGGACCUCCUCCCAUUACUUCCCUCAUGCAUUAAUUGAAGGAGGAUGCAUUAGCCGUUCAACAUAUCGGGAACCGCUACUCCCUCCCUCGUCUGCAUUAAAGGCGUAUCGGGAACUGCCUUGCCCGCUAUCAAAUCGAAUACUCCCUCGUCUAGGUGAGUAUUAUAAGUCAUCUUACGAAAACCAAAUACUAGUAAGACUAGCCAACGUGGGAGUAACUUCAGUAGUAACAUCGAGUCCAACUCAGCAAAUUUGCUUAUGUGGCAGUGAGUUAAUGAGGAGAGAGGUAGUUAUAAGGCUGGUCGUAAUAGUAGUAUCAUAAGUAGUAUCAUGCAUGCCAACUAGGCAAAUUUGAUGAGGUGGCAUAGAAUUGAAUGAAGAAAGAGAGAGUUGAAUAUCAUAUCAUGAUACCAUAUUAUAUUAAAUGGUGUUCUACUAUGUGUCAUGCAUGGCAAUAAAUGAAGUUAGCUAUGAUACUAACUUAUGAUACCAUGCACUACGGAUGUAGUAUCAUACACUAGUAUCAUAUGCAUGAUACUAGUAUAUGAUACUCGCCAUUACGACUAGCCUAAUAAAUUAGCUAGUUACUGUAACAUCACAUGUCCCAAUGCAAUAUUAGUCUAUAACCUAAUAAAUGAAGCUUUGCAUGUUACCACACUUAUGUUACUACUAUGAAGGUAGUAACAUAGUCUAGGGAUAUGUGUAUGUUACUAGUGUAUGUUACUCACCAUUGUGGCUAGUCUAACACAUAGGCGUGGUGCAUUAACUCUCACGUUGUUUCUUAUUUUUUGACAUAAAUAGAGGAAUCAACCAAGAAGAGAUGUGGGGCUUGUAUGCUUUUAAUGACUUGAGACUAUCAAACAUGACAUGCAGUGGUCAGUUCGUUGCACAAGAACAAAUACAACCUACGUCGGCACACACACAUCUUAUAGCAUCACAUCCAAUGGCUAUAAAAGAUGAAUGAGACCAAAUUAUAUCUCAUCUAGAUGAGUUCUAGAAAAACUGUAUUAAUAAUACUUAGUACUCCUACGCCAUGUAUCAUAUAAGAGCAUGCUUGGAUCCAAGGGACUAUUUUUAGUUUGACUAAAACUAGUCUUUUUUAGAGGCUAAAGUUCCAAUCACCCCUGACUAAAGAGAGGCUAUAACUAGUCUUGAGACUAAAAAAUUUUAGUCAGGGAAACCCUACUAAAAUGUGGAUUAGUCCUCUCUCUCCUCAUUUAACUCCUCUCCUUUAACACAUGCGAGUUCUGGAUUGGAGGGUUUGGAGGAUAAUAAAUGCUCAUUAACUCGAUUUUAUUCUACUUAGUAUUUGUAUCCAAGCAUGAGUGAGGCUAGCAAGUUUUAGUCUCACUACUUUUAGUCAUGGGACUAAAACGUAUCCAAGCACCCUCUAAGUAUCAUGUAGUACUUUAUUUAUUGCCAUGUAUGACACAUAGUUCAUGAGUGCUCUCUAUAUGUACCACCUUUUUUUAAUUUCAAUUUUUGCUCCAUGGAGCAAUCCAUCAAUACUACUACUGUACAAAAGUGGAGUAUAUACAUUUUUUAAAAGGCUAGGGCGGGGCAAUCUAGCUCGGUCGGUUUCAUGAGAGGCGAGGGCCUUUGUGAUUUGACGGCUCACUAAUGCUGUCAAAUCAAAUAGUACUGUACCGCCCGCUGCACGCUCGGCGCCUCCAUUAAACCCCUCCGUUAAACCCGCAUGCAAACCGAGAAUCCUACUCCGUCCACAUGUCCGUUCAUGAGCGGGCCGGAAUUAAACGCAACACCGGCCGAGCUCCUCCUGUCCGCCUUCAGUUUAAACGAGGCCAGACGCCGGCCAAGCUCCUACCGUCCGCCCUCUAUUUACACGAGGCCAGACAGACAUCGGGCAAGAAUCGCACCCCUCCGACGCUCCCCCAUCUCCUUCUUCACCAUUUUCUCCACCCUUCCAAUGGCUUCCGAUGAGCCGUUCUCCGGCAUACUACCCGGCUGGGUGGCCCGCCGAGCCCUUCGGAUACGGGCAAGGCCGCUCGGUGCUUCACCAAACUCGCUUGGCCCGAUGGAGCCAGUUGCCGCCCCAAGCAGGCACAUGGUUCAGCAACUCGCCGCUCCAGUUUAGCUCGAUGAGGAGUGGCGAGUUGCUCCACGCCGGCACGGCGGCGAGAACGCCGGUACGGGCGCCAUCGCUGCCGCGUCGUACAGCGCCACCAAUAUCUGCGGUGGCCGCGCCUCCCGUGUUUGUGGGCGCGCCUCCCGUGCCUGCGGCAGCGCCAUGCAGGCAGAGACAGAAGCUGGGUGCGUGGAGAGCGACGAGUCGGUGGCUAGCUUCUCCCUGUCCGCUGCCAUCAUCGAGGAGAAGUAGAACACGGGAGGCCGCCGCCACUUGGGACCCAUGAAGGCCACCACCGAGGCGACGACCGCAGAUUCAGGUGGUUUCUUUGUUGCUUCGUCUCUUCCGAGGACCUUCGUCGACCCCGCAAGUGUCUGACGGACAUGAGGAAGACAAAGGGAUCCGCGGGCGGCCAUUUAGAACUAAAAUAAGUCUAGAUAUAUCAAUUUCUAGGAGAAGUAUUUCUGGGGAGGGAGUAUUAAUUAUACAAGAGAGCCGGAUUGGCACCUCUUAGUUCAUGUAAAUGUAAUGAAAUCCAUCAUGUUUAUAUGAAGAUCCGGCUUUUUUAUACGAAAUGCUUAUAUGAAAUCAGUCCAUGGUUGCACGAAUAUCAUCUGGUUGGUUAGAGUUGUAAAAAUGUAUGCCGCUGGCGUUUGAUGUCGUCCUCCGCGGAAGGAAGCGGGAGGAAAUUUGCCGGCUGCCGUUGGAGAUGCUCUUUAUGCUGGAAAUAAUAGAGUGACAUCCAAUCCAUUUGAGUUAAUUGCCUGUAUGAUUGUCCCUCUAUAAAAAGUUAAUUGCAUGUACAGUGUACAUGUGACUUGGAGGGUGGCUACAGCUUCAUACAGAAAGUUAAAAAGAAAUAAGUCCAUCCAUAAUAUUCUAAGUACUCUUUGGGUUCCACUGUCAGUACAGUAGCGAAAGAAGUAUAUAUUACUCCCUCCGUUCCUAAAUAUUUGUCUUUUUAGAGAUUUCAAAUGGACUACUACAUACAGUUGUAUAUAGACAUAUUUUAGAGUGUAGAUUCACUCAUUUUGUUCAGUAUGUAGUCACUUGUUGAAACUUUUAGAAAGACAAAUAUUUAGGAACAGAGAGAGUAAAUAAGUAGACUAAUAUAUAAUAUACAAAUCUAAAGUUAAAAGGCAGAAUUCGAACUCAUGUCAUCGCGUUGCGAGCAUCCGGCGCUAACCAGCCCACCACAUUUUUGUUGUAGACCAUGCUGGAGAUAUAUCUCCAUGUCUACUCUUAUAUAUACUCCAUUCAUUCCUAAAUAUUUGUCUUUUUUAGAUUUCAAAUGGACUACCACAUACGGAUGUGUAUGUAGACAUAUUUUAGAGUGUAGAUUCAGUCAUUUUGCUACGUAUGUCUUUUCAGGAAGGGGUCAGAUUUCUCCUUGAUUUAUUUAUGAGGUAUCCAGAUGGCACUGCACCACCAAGAAAACAGGGUAACAUCAAAAUUAUGGACUACUUUUUUGAGUAUGUUGGUAAGGUCCGGUCAUAGUCACUUGUUGAAAUCUCUAAAAAGACAAAUACUCCCUCCGUCCGGAAAUACUUGUCAUAAAAAUGGAUAAAAGGAAAUGUAUCUAGACGUAUUUUAGUUUUAGAUACAUCUAUUUUUAUCCAUUUUGAUGAUAAGUAUUUUCGGACAGAGGGAGUAGAAAACAGAGUUGGUGAUGAUGGUGUGCGUGCCAUCCCCUCUCGAAACCUAAGAUUGCUCAUCCACCGGAGUACCAUAGCCCAUUCACUGCCAGCGGCGUCCACCUCGCCGGAUCUGCUUCUGCGGCCGCAUCUACCCCUCCCACCUCCCCUAGAAACAAGUAGACUGCUCAUCCACCACUGUACCACAGCCCAUUCAGUGCCGGCCUUGUCCACGGCGCCGGAUCUGCUUUGCUAGUACUCUCGUCAACCGCCGCGCAUCUGCAGUGGCUCAUUCGUACUCCCCACCAGAGAUGCUUCGUCCACACCCCCCCGGAGCCGCCCCACCGACGCCCCCGUCGACGGCCUCUAAUCCUCUUCUCCGACACCUUCCUCAACCCUACCGGAGGCGCUUCACCGACACCUUCCUCAACCCUACCGAAGCCGCUUCGCCGACACCAGCGUCAACCCUACCGGAGUAGCUUCGCCUAUACCAUUCUCAACCCUACCGGGGCCGCUUUGCCAACUCACAAGUCCACGGCCUCAGAUCCGCUUCCUCGCACCCUCAUCCAACCUACCAGAGCAGCUUCUGACGCCCUGUCCACGGCCGCAGAUCCGCAUCGUCAACACCACCCUUAACCCAACCACCGGAGCAGCUUCUGACGCCCCGUACACGGCCGCAGAUCCACAUCGUCGACACCAUCCUUAACCCAACCACCGGAGCAGCUUUCGACGCCCCGUCCACGGCCGCAGAUCCGCGUCGUCGACACCAUCCUUAACCCAACCACCGGAGCAGCUUCACCUACGCCCUCGUCCACGGCCACAGACCCGCUUCGCCCACACCAUAGUCCACCCUACCGGAGCCGCUCCACAAACACCCUACUCGACGGUUCUAGAUCUCCUUACCGGACCCCGACAGCCAGCGCAGCGUCAUCACCCUCAACAUUUCUAACCUGAUUCCCAUCGUCUGGAGAGAUGCCAAGCACCCGCCACGGCCUAGGUACUUGUCACCUUUAAACCCGUCCAGCAUCACCUGCCCGAUGUACUUCAAAUAUACUAACCGCUCGCUGUUACCUGUUAUGCAGCUGGCAAAAACUACAAGGACGAUGUUUCUUCUGGAUCUAACAUCUUGGCCAACCAAGAUCCUGGACUGAGGCAUUGCUAUGAGCUUGUAAGCGCGUCUCUCUCUCUCUCUUGUAUUGUUCUGUGCCUGCCAGCGUGCUUUGUUAGGAUUUUCGACAAGUAAUCCCUUUGUGCAGACAAUGAUUUCUACUACUGGCUGCUAAAUUAGAUAUGUAGAUGUCAUACAUGAUACUACCUCGUACCUCCAUUCCUAAAUAUAGGUCUUUCUAGAGAUUCCACUAUAGGCUACAUACGGAGCAAAAUGAGUGAAUCUACACUCGAAAAUGCAUCUAUGUACAUCUGUGUGUGGUCCAUACUGGAAUCUCUACAAAGACCUAUAUUUAGGAACAGGGGCAGUACAUUACACAAAAUCGUAGGUGGCAUGUAGGAAUUUCAGUGCACUACAUUAGGCUCCCUUAGAGUGCCUGCCAGUCCAGCAUACAGAGUCAUGGCUAGUUUAUGGUAUGCACACAAUCAUUAAUUGGUGGUUUAAAUAUGCACAAGGGAUAUGCAAUUUAGUAUCAUGUAGAGAUGUCUGAAAUUAGCCGUGUCAACUUGCAGAUAGGGUUACACAAUGAAAAAGUACAAGAUGUAUGUGGCAAUUUCAUGGAACAUCGCAAAAAAAGGAGAGGCAGCGGUGAGCCUAUACAGUGUGCUAUGGUACGUCACUCCUCCAUUGCAAUCAUUGUGACAUGUUAUUUGUAUGCCAGUUCUAUUAGCCAAGUUCCUAAGGGACAGUUAUUACGAGUUAUCCUAAGAAAAUAAGCACCUGUGAAUAUAAGCUCCAUGUAAUACGCCAACCAGUUCUUUUCAUUGCGUUUUCAGCUUAUCUUUGGUAUGAUCAGUGGAAAGUCUAGAUUGCAUUAUAUAUAUUUUUCAUUUUGCUGCACAUAUGGAAAUUAAUUUGACUUGCAAACAUCACAAAUUGAACCCAGUGCAGUAAUUAAUAUGAUAGGAAAACAAACCAUCACUAUUUGCUCAAAAUGCAAAUACAAAGAUACCAUCUACUUGGCACAAUCUACUUUGGUCAAUGUUUUCCAUAGAGAUCCCAUUGACUAAUUUAAACGAAGAAUGCAUGACCCACAUUUAAAUGAAGAACAAUUAUUUGUUGAAAUUCGAUGGUCCAAGUGGCUGGUUAUUAUCAUAUAGCAGCACCACCUGAAAGCAUCAUAUAGCAGCAGCAGCUCAUAGCAACUCAUCAUACAGCAGCAGCAGUCUGCAAUUCAUCAUAUACCAGCAGCAGCUCAUAGCAAUUCAUCAUAUAGCAGCAGCAGGAGCAGCUCAUAGCAAUUCAUCAUAUAGCAGCAGCAGGAGCAGCUUGUAGCAACUCAUCAUAUAGCAGCAGCAGCAGCUCAUAGCAACUCAUCAUACAAUAGCAGCAGUCUGCAAUUCAUCAUAUACCAGUAGUAGCUCAUAGCAAUUCAUCAUAUAGCAGCAGCAGGAGCAGCUCAUAGCAAUUCAUCAUAUAGCAGCACCAGGAGCAGCUUUUAGCAACUCACCAUUCCCCUUCCCUUCAAUUUUUAGUGAGGUUCUACCCGAAACACCCCCCUCCAAAGCGAAAUUAGUUAAGCCCAAUCCCAUAACUCAAAAAUGACUUCUUUACAUCUUUUAUGGCUUAUUUUGACAAUAUACCCUGAAAAGGCGGAAUCGAACUGGCCCUUAACCUGCAAUUCAAUUGUGCGUGCAAUGAUGAAUCACUCCUGCCUGCUAUCUGUACAUUUAGGCAUCAUCAUGGCAUAACCUAAUACAUGUGCAUUCCAUUGUAGAAUCUGGAAUAUGCAAUGUUUAUGUUAGUUCAUACGUUGCACAUGAUGUUUAAAUGCCCCUUAAAUCUGGUCAGUCAAGUGAUGGUCUUUAAGCCUCCUUCUUUGCUUCUUUUCUUGAUAUGUAAGAUUUGCUCACACAUCUGUUCAAUUGCUUGUUUGCAUCAGCCAGCCAUACUAGGACUGUUUGCUUUGAUUACUUGUUGUUCUUGACCUAACACUCUAACAGAGCUUGUCAACGAUUUAAACACUAAGGGCUUCUGUAGUGGGGCCUUGUCUAACUCAUAGGUGAAUAAAGGUUUGGCUGUACACUAUAGUAGGCUCUCCAAGAGUACCUGGAGAUCUAGUUCGAAGGUAUGCCUAGGUUUUACAUAGUGCAGACAUAGUAAAUGCUCAUUUCAUUGUGUGCAAGUGCAAGAGAUGCGGCAUGUUUCAUUAUGUGGUGUUGUUUUGUUAUAAUCUCAUCCUUUUGUGUUCAUAGACUGGAAAGUAUGCAUAUUUAUCUUCCAAGGAGACGAGUAACUAGUUUGUGUCACCUUGCAGAGGGGGUGCAAUGAAGAUAAGAUUGAGGAUUUCCAAGAACAAGAUGUUAGGAAGGAGCCUUGCAAGAGAAGUAGGAGCUACGCUGAGCCUCUUCGACCUGCUAAGGUAAGUCACUGUAUGCAACUCAACAGUUCAAUUCCUUGUUUGUUUCAGGCAUAAUUAAUUUUCUCUUUUCAAUUGCUUUAUUUGUCCUCACUUAAUGAGAUGUCCAAAUAAUUAUUCGGUACUUGUAUCACUAUUAGUUGACAUAAUUAAAGGCCUUACCAUUUAAUUACUCUGCCGAAGUGUGCCUGAAGCUUUGAAGUCUAUUAACCAACUAUUAUUGCAUGAGGCUCAGAAUCUAGUUUAUACUAUGCUAAUGAUUGCAUAGUUUUGCCUGUUGUAGUAUGUUUGUAUGAAACCCUCUGUUAUUCAUUAUGCUCCCUAAGACUUAAUUUGAGGUACAGAAUGGCCAACUGCUUGCUUACUUAUACGCAAUGUGCUGUCUAAAUUUGUAACUUGUCUGUGUUUUCGAUUGGGCCCCAACAUCAUGCUCCUCUGGUGAGCUAAGAGGGAUUUCUGUAUGCAUGCUGCACAUACUAUCUUUUUUAUAAUUUUUAAAAUAUCACCUGCUUAUGCUUCAUGAUGUGUAACAUUUUUGUGUGUGAAAGUGACGUGUAACAUUAUUGUUAGUCCUGUUUUGCCAUGUAGUACAAAAUAGUGUCUUGUUCGCUUCACUGUUGUAACCCCUGCGGCCUCGUUCCGCUGCACGCCCGUGCGGGCAAGCCCCCAUUCAAGUGCGCCUGCGCCCGCCCCAUUUCGCCAGCGCCCGAACCCGCUAUGGACCUUAGGUCCUAUGACAUGUGGGGCCUAGCCCCAAAACGAUUUUAUAUAAAAAGGAGAUUAAAAAAGAAUAAAAUUAAAAUUAAAUGUAAUUAACUAAUUAAUUAAUUUAAUAAUAAUUAGAUUAGUCUAAUCCCUAAUUAAUUGUUAGUUAACUAAUCAGUCAAUGACAGCCGGGACCCACACAUCUGUUUGACCAGUCAACACCUCUGUUGACUGUUGACGUCACGCUGACGUCAUGCUGAUGCGAUAAUACUAAUUUCGAAUUAAUUUAGUGAUAAUAAAUUAGAAAAUGAUUUUAAAACUUUAUAAAUUAAUAAUAAAUAAACCGUAGCUCAGAUAGAAAAACUUGGUACAUGAAAGUUGCUCAGAACGUCGAGACGAAUCUAGAUACGCAGCCCGUUCGUCCGCCACGCGUCCCUAGCAUAGUGAACCUACAACAUUUCACCUCCGGUUCAUCUGUCCGAAAACACGAAACACCGGGGAUACUUUCCCGGAUGUUUCCCACUUUGUCGGUAUCACCUACUACCGCAUUAGGGCACACCUAGCACCGCAUAUUGCCGCGUCUUGCUUUGUGUUACAUUUGAUUGCUCUGUUAUUUAUUGUGUUCCCCCUUUGUUACUUCUUUCCGGUAGACUCUGAGACCGGUGCCGAUGUCUGUGUGUUCGACUACACCGAAGAUGACCCCUCCUUGCCAGAGCAACCAGGCAAGCCCCCCCCCCCUUGAUCACCAGAUAUCGCCUAUUCUUCUCUAUACUGCUUGCAUUAGAAUAGUGUAGCAUGUUACUGUUCGGUUACUCCUAUUUUGUUGCAUAGCCUGUCAUUGUUGCUAUAGUCGUUGAUACCUUACCCGCAAUCCUAAAUGCUUAGUAUAGGAUGCUAGUUUAUCAUCAUUGGCCCUACAUUCUUGUCAGUUUGCCUUGCUAUACUAUCGGGCCGUGAUCACUUGGGAGGUGAUCACGGGUAUAUACUAUACAUAUAUACAUGCUAUACACAUGGUGACUAAAGUCAGGUCAGCUCGUUGAGUACCCGCAAGUGAUUCCGAUGUGGGGGCUGGAAGGACAGAUGGCUCCAUCCCGGUAGAGGUGGGCCUGGGUUCUCGAUGGCCCCCGACUGUUACUUUGUGGCGGAGCGACAGGGCAGGUUGAGACCACCUAGGCGAGAGGUGGGCCUGGCCCUGGUCGGCGUCCGCGGUUACUUCAUAAUAACAUGCUUAACGAGAUCUUGGUAUUUGAUCUGAGUCUAGCCACUGGCCUAUACGCACUAACCAACUACGCGGGAAAGAUAUGGGCACUUGACGUCGUGGUAUCAGCCGAAGCCUUCGUGACGUCAGCGACUGAGAGGCGCGCGCCAGGUUGGACUGCGUUAACGCAACUUCCUUUGUAAUGGAGGUUGUUAGGUCUGCUCACCGACCGCAUACGCAACGUGCAGGUGUGCAAUGGGCGAUGGGCCCAGACCCCUGCGCGCAUAGGAUUUAGACCGGCAUGCUGACCUCUCUGUUGUGCCUAGGUGGGGCUGCGACGUGUUGAUCUCCCGAGGCUGGGCAUGACCCAGGAAAGUGUGUCUGGCCAAAUGGGAUCGAGCAUGUUGGGUUAUGUGGUGCACCCUUGCAGGGAAGUUUAUCUAUUCGAAUAGCCGUGUCCCUCGGUAAAAGGACGACCCGGAGUUGUACCUUGACCUUUUGACAACUAGAACCGGUUACUUAAUAAAACACACCCAUACAAGUUCCACAGACAACCCGGUGAUUGCUUUUCCACAGGGCGACGAGGGGAGGAUCGCCGGGUAGGAUUAUGCUAUGCGAUGCUACUUGGAGGACGUCAAUCUACUCUCUUCUAUAUGUUGGAAGACGGAGGUUGCCAGAAGCAUAGUCUUCGACAGGAUUAGCUAUCCCCCUCUUAUUCUGGCAUUCUGCAGUUCAGUCCACCGAUAUGGCCCUUUACACAUAUACCCAUGCAUAUGUAGUGUAGCUCCUUGCUUGCGAGUACUUUGGAUGAGUAUUCAUGGUUUCUUUUCUCCCUCUUUUCCCCUUUCCCUUCUACCUGGUUGUCGCAACUAGAUGUUGGAGCCCUGGAGCCAGACGCCACCGUCGACGACGACUACUACACUGGAGGUGCCUCCUACUACGUGCAGGCUGCUGACGACGACCAUGAGUAGUUUAGGAGGAUCCCAGGCAGGAGGCCUACGCUUCUUUCGAUCUGUAUCCCAGUUUGUGCUAGCCUUCUUAAGGCAAACUUGUUUAACUUAUGUCUAUACUCAGAUAUUGUUGCUUCUGCUGACUCGUCUAUGAUCGAGCACUUGUAUUCGAGCCCUCGAGGCCCCUGGCUUGUAAUAUGUUCCUUGUAUGACUUAUUUAUGUUUUUAGAGUUGUGUUGUGAUAUCUUCCCGUGAGUCCCUGAUCUUGAUCGUACAUGUUUGCGUGCAUGAUUAGUGUACGGUUGAAUCGGGGGCGUCACAUAGCUACUAGUACAUACCCUCAGCCCCGAGGGUGAACUACUCCCUCCUUGUCAUGGAGAGCGCCGGGAUGAUGAAGAUGGCCACUGGUGAUGGAUUCCCCCUCCGGCAGGGUGCCGGAACAAGGUCCCGAUUGGUUUUUGGUGGCUACAGAGACUUGCAGCGGCGGAACUCCCAAUCUAUUGUGCUCCCCGAUGUUUUUAGGGUAUAUGGACAUAAAUAGGCGAAAGAAGUCGGUCACGGGAGCCACGAGGGGCCCACGAGGGUGGGAGGAGUGCCCAGGGGGUAGGGCGCGCCUCCCUUCCUCGUGGCCACCUCGAAGCUGCCCUGACGUCUACUCCAAGUAUCCUGGAUUGCUUAUGUUCCAAAAAUAACUCUCCCGAAGGUUUCAUUCCGUUUGGACUUCGUUUGAUAUUCCUUUUCUUCGAAACACUGAAAUAGGCAAGAAAACAAUAAUUUGGGUUGGGCCUCCGGUUAGUAGGUUAGUCCGAAAAAUGAUAUAAAAGUGUAGAGUAAAGCCCAUAAACAUCCAAAAUGGGUAAUGUAAUAGCAUGGAACAAUAAAAAAUCAUAGAUACGUUGGAGACGUAUCACUGGGCUGACCUCACCAAGUUCAUGGCGGUCCCCCUCUACGCGUAUCUGAAGAUGAAGCUGCCGGGUCCGAAGGGCCUCAUCACCAUCACCGGCGACUACCGCAAGUCACUGGAGUGCACCCCAGAUGGCGCCAAGCUGGCCGAGUCACUGGUCAUAGCCAAGGAGCGGCGCUAGCUCGACCGAAUUGUCGCCCUGGCUAGCGAGACAUCAGCUGCACCGAUCCCGAUAGAGGAGCCGGCUAACGAGGCUGCCUUCAAGCCCUCCAAGGAGACAAAGAAAGUGAAGCUGAACCCGAAAGACCUCAGCUGCAGCAAGUACGUUGUCGUAGGCACCCGCCUCAAUAGCAAAUAGGAAGGCGAGCUCGUCGAUUUCCUCCGUGAGAAUCAGGAUAUUUUUGCAUGGACCCCGAAGGACAUGCCGGGUAUACCGAGGAAGUACGCUGAGCACAAACUCCACAUCCGCAAGGACGCCAAGCCUGUCCACCAACCCCUACGACGUUUCUCCGAAGAGAAGAAAAGAACCGAUAUGUUCAUUUUGCAUCAUGCUUUUAUAUCAAUAUUUAUUGCAUUAUGGGCUGUUAUUACACGUUAUGUAACAAUACUUAUGCCUAUUAUCUCUUAUUUUACAAGGUUUACAUGAAGAGGGAGAAUGCCGGCAGUUGGAAUUCUGGGCUGGAAAAGGAGCAAAUAUUAGAGACCUAUUCUACACAACUCCAAAAGUCCUGAAACUCCACGAAAGUUGUUUUUGGAAUUAAUAGAAAAUAUUGGGCAAAGAAAGUACCAGAGGGGGCCCACACCUUGGCCACGAGGGUGGGGGGCGCGCCCUAACCCCCUGGGCGCGCCCCUGCCUCCUAGCCCCCUGGCAGUCCUCCGGUGGCCAUCUUUUGCUAUAUGAAGUCUUUUACCCUAAAAAAUCAUAAGCAAGCUUUCAGGAUGAAACACUGCCGCCACAAGGCGGAACCUUGGCGGAACCAAUCUAGGGCUCUGGCGGAGCUGUUCUGCCGGGGAAACAUCCCUCUGGGAGGGGGAAAUCGUCAUCAUCGUCAUCACCAUCUAUCCUCUCAUCGGGAGGGGGUCAAUCUCCAUCAACAUCUUCACGAACACCAUCUCCUCUCAAACCCUAGUUCAUCUCUUUUAUCCAAUCUUUGUCCCAUAACCUCAGAUUGGUACCCGUGGGUCAUUAGUAGUGUUUAUUACUCCUUGUAGCUGAUGCUACUUGGUUUAUUCGGUGGAAGAUCAUAUGUUCAGAUCCUUUAUGCAUAUUAAUACCCCUCUGACUAUGAACAUGAAUAUGAUUUGUGAGUAGUUAUGUUUGUUCCUGAGGACAUGGGAGAAGUCUUGCUAUAAGUAGUCAUGUGAAUUUGGUAUUCGUUCGAUAUUUUGAUGAGAUGUAUGUUGUCUCUCCUCUAGUGGUGUUAUGUGAACGUCGACUACAUGACACUUCACCAUUGUUUGGGCCUAGAGGAAGGCAUUGUGAAGUAAUAAGUAGAUGAUGGGUUGCUAGAGUGACAGAAGCUUAAACCCUAGUUUAUGUGUUGCUUCGUAAGGGGCUGAUUUGGAUCCAUAUGUUUCAUGCUAUGGUUAGGUUUACCUUAAUACUUCUUUUGUAGUUGCGGAUGCUUGCAAUAGGGGUUAGUCAUAAGUGGGAUGCUUGUCCAAGAAAGGUUAGUACCCAAGCACCGGUCCGCCCACAUAUCAAAUUAUCAAAGUAACGAACGCGAAUCAUAUGAGCGUGAUGAAAACUAGCUUGACAAUAAUUCCCAUGUGUCCUCGGGAGCGCUUUUCUCUAUACAAGAAUUUGUCCGGGCUUGUCCUUUGAUACAAAAAGGAUAGCGCCAUCUUGCUGCACUUUAUUUACUUUCAUUACUUGUUACCCGUUACAAAUUACCUUAUCACAAAACUAUCUGUUACCGAUGAUUUUAGUGCUUGGAGAGAAUACCUUACUGAAAACCACUUGUCAUUUCCUUCUGCUCCUCGUUGGGUUUGACACUCCUACUUAACGAAAGGACUAUGCUAGACCCCCUACACUUGUGGGUCAUCAAGACUCUUUUCUGGCACCGUUGCCGGGGAGUGAAGUGCCUUUGAUAAGUGGAACUUGGUAAGGAAAAAUUUAUAUAGUGUGCUGAAAUUUACUGUCACUUGUUGCUAUGGAACAUAAUCCUUUGAGGGGCUUGUUCGGGGUAUCUUCACCCCGAACAGUAGAGCAAAGAGUUGCUCCUCAACCUACUGAAAAUGUUUACUUUGAAGUUCCAUCGGGUAUGAUAGAGAAACUGCUAGCUAAUCCUUUUAUAGGAGAUGGAUCAUUGCAUCCCGAUUUACACCUAAUCUAUGUGGAUGAAGUUUGUGGAUUAUUUAAGCUUGUAGGUAUGCCCGAGGAUGUUAUCAAGAAGAAGGUCUUCCCUUUAUCUUUGAAGGGAGAGGCAUUGACAUGGUUUAGUCUAUGUGAUGAUAUGGGAUCAUGGAACUACAAUCGAUUGAAAUUGGAAUUUCAUCAGAAGUUUUAUCCUAUGCAUCUUGUUCAUCGUGAUCAUAAUUAUAUAUAUAAUUUUUGGCCUCGCGAAGGAGAAAGCAUCGCGCAAGCUUGGGGGAGGCUUAAGUCAAUGUUAUAUUAAUGCCCCAAUCAUGAGCUUUCAAGAGAAAUGACUAUUCAAAAUUUUUAUGCUCGGCUCUCAAAAAUUGCUCCAUGCUCGAUACUUCUUGUACUGGUUCUUUUAUGAUGAAGAGUAUUGAAUUCAGAUGGAAUUUAUUGGAAAGAAUUAACGCAACUCUGAAGAUUGGGAUCUUGACGAAGGUAAGGAGUCAGGUAUGACACCUAAGUUUGAUUGUGUUAAAUCUUUUAUGGAUACUGAUGCUUUCCGUGAGUUUAGCACUAAAUAUGGACUUGACUAUGAGAUAGUAGCUUCUUUCUGUGAACCAUUUGCUACUCAUGUUGACCUCCCUAAGGAGAAGUGGUUUAAAUAUAAUCCUCCCAUUGAAGUAAAAGUAGUUGCACCUGUUAAAGUUGAAGAAAAGAUUAUCACUUAUAAUGAUCCUAUUUCCUACUACCUACGUUGAGAAACCACCUUUCCCUGUUAGGAUAAAGGAUCAUGCUAAAGCUUCAACUGUGGUUCAUAAGAGUAAUACUAGAACACCGACACCACCUGAGCAAAUUAAAGUUGAACCUAGUAUUGCUAUGGUUAAAGAUCUCUUGGCUGAUAAUAUUGAUGGGCAUGUUAUUUACUUCUGUGAUGAAGCUGCUAGAAUUGCUAGACCUGAUACUAAAAAUAAACAUAGACCUGUUGUAGGCAUGGUUGUUAUCUCUGUUAAAAUAGGAGAUCAUUGUUAUCAUGGCUUAUGUGAUAUGGGUGCUAGUGCAAGUGCAAUACCUCAUUCCUUAUACAAAGAAAUUAUGCAUGAUAUUGCACCUGCUGAGAUAGAAGAAAUUGAUGUUACAAUUAAGCUUGCCAAUAGAGAUACUAUUUCACCAGUUGGGAUUGUUAGAGAUGUUGAAGUCUUGUGUGGUAAAGUUAAAUAUCCUGCUGAUUUUCUUGUUCUUGGUUCCCCACAAGAUGACUUUUGUGCCAUUAUAUUUGGUAGACCCUUCUUGAAUACUGUUAAUGCUAGGAUAGAUUGCAAAAAUGAUAUUGUUACGAUCGGGUUAGGGGAUAUGUCUCAUGACUUUAACUUUGCUAAAUUUCGUAGACAACCCCGUGAUAAAGAAUUGCCUAGUAAGGAUGAAAUUAUUGGUCUUGCUUCUAUUGCCGUGCCUCCUAAUGAUCCUUUAGAACAAUAUUUGCUAGACCAUGAAAAUGAUAUGUUUAUGAAUGAAAGAAGGGAGAUAGAUGAAGUAUUCUUUAAACAGGGACCUAUUUUGAAACACAACUUGCCUGUUGAAAUCCUAGGGGAUCCUUCUCCACCCAAGGGUGGUCCCAUGUUUGAGCUUAAACCACUACCUUAUACUCUUAAAUAUGCUUAUCUUGAUGAAAAUAAGAUAUAUCAUGUUAUUAUUAGUGCUAACAUUUCAGAGCAGGAAGAGGCAAAAUUAUUGAAAGCUUUGAAGAAGCACCGUACUGCUAUUGGAUAUACUCUUGAUGAUCUUAAGGGAAUUAGUCCCACUCUAUGCCAAGACAAAAUAAAAUUGGAGAAGGAUGCUAAACCAGUUGUUGAUCACCAACGACGGUUAAAUCCUAAGAUGAAAGAAGUGGUAAGAAAAAGAAUUACUAAAGCUCCUGGAGGCAGGUGUAAUUUAUCCCGCUGCUGAUAGUCAGUGGGUAAGUCUUGUCCAUUGUGUCCCUAAGAAGGGAGGUAUUACUGUUAUUCCUAAUGAUAAAGAUGAAUUGAUCCCACAAAGAAUUGUUACAAGUUAUAGGAUGGUAAUUGAUUUCCGCAAAUUAAAUAAAGCUAUUAAAAAGGAUCAUUACCCUUUGCCUUUUAUUGAUCAAAUGCUAGAAAUACUAUCCAAACAUACACAUUUCUGCUUUCUAGAUGGUUACUCUGGUUUCUCUCAAAUACCCGUGUCAAAAGAGGAUCAAGAAAAGACCACUUUUACUUACCCUUUCGGUACUUUUGCUUAUAGACGUAUGCCUUUUGGUUUAUGUAAUGCACCUGCUACCUUUCAAAGAUGUAUGAUGGCUAUAUUCUCUGACUUUUGUGAAAAUAUUGUUGAGGUUUUCAUGGAUGAUUUCUCUGUUUAUGGAUCUUCUUUUGAUGAUUGCUUGAGAAACCUUGAUCGAGUUUUGCAGAGAUGCGAAGAUACUAGUCUUGUCUUGAAUUGGGAAAAGUAACACUUUACGGCUAAUGAAGGCAUUGUCUUGGGGCAUAAAAUUUCUGAAAGAGGUAUUGAAGUUGAUAAAGCUAAAGUUGAUGCUAUUGAAAAGAUGCCAUGACCCAAGGACAUUAAAGGUAUAAGAAGUUUCCUUGGUCAUGUCGGCUUUUAUAGGAGGUUCAUUAAGGACUUCUCUAAAAUUUCUAGGCCUCUGACUAAUCUCUUACAAAAAGAUAUUCCUUUUGUCUUUGAUGAUGAUUGUGUAGAAGCAUUUGAAAUACUCCAGAAAGCUUUGAUUUCUGCACCUAUUGUUCAGCCACCUGAUUGGAAUUUACCCUUUGAAAUUAUGUGUGAUGCUAGUGAUUAUGCUGUAGGUGCUGUUCUAGGACAAAGAGUUGAUAAGAAACUAAAUUUUAUUCUAUAUGCUAGUAAAACUCUAGACACUGCCCAGAGAAAUUAUGCUACUACUAAAAAAGAAUUUUUAGCAGUUGUAUUUGCUUGUGAUAAGUUCAGACCUUAUAUUGUUGAUUCUAAAGUAAUUGUUCACACUGAUCAUGCUUCUAUUAAAUAUCUUAUGGAAAAGAAAGAUGCUAAACCUAGACUUAUUAGAUGGGUUCUCUUGCUACAACAAUUUGAUUUGCAUAUUAUUGAUAGAAAGGGAGCUGAGAAUCCCGUCGUAGACAACUUGUCUAGGUUAGAGAAUGUUCUUGAUGACCCGCUACCUAUUGAUGAUAGCUGUCCUAAUGAACAACUAGCUGUGAUAAAUGCUUCUCGUACUGCUCCAUGGUAUGCUGAUUAUGCUAAUUACAUUGUUGCUAAAUUUAUACCACCUAGUUUCUCAUAUCAGCAAAAGAAAAAGUUUUUCUAUGAUUUAAGACAUUACUUCUAGGAUGACCCGCACCUUUAUAAAGGAGUAGAUGGUGUUAUUAGACGUUGUGUACCUGAGCAUGAACAGGAACAGAUCCUAUGCAAGUGUCACUCCGAGGCCUAUGAAGGACCCCACGCUGGAGACAGAACUGCACAUAAGGUAUUGCAAUCCGUUUUCUAUUGGCCUACUCUCUUCAAGUAUGCCCGUAAGUUUGUCUUGUCUUGCGAUGAAUGUCAAAGAAUUGGUAAUAUUAGUAGACGUCAAGAAAUGUCUAUGAAUUAUUCUCUUGUUAUUGAACCAUUUGACGUUUGGGGCUUUGAUUAUAUGGGACCGUUUCCUUCCUCUAAUGGGUAUACACAUAUUUUAGUUGCUGUUGAUUAUGUUACUAAGUGGGUAGAAGCUAUUCCAACUAGUAGUGUUGAUCAUAACACCUCUAUUAAGAUGCUUAAAGAAGUUAUUUUUCCGAGGUUUGGAGUCCUUAGAUACUUAAUGACAGAUGGUGGUUCACAUUUUAUUCAUGGUGCUUUUCAUAAAAUGCUUGCUAAGUAUGAUGUUAAUCAUAUAAUUGCAUCUCCAUAUCACCCACAGUCUAGUGGUCAAGUAGAACUGAGUAAUAGAGAGCUCAAAUUAAUUUUGCAAAAGACUGUUAAUAGAUCCUGGAAGAAUUGGUCCAAGAAACUUGGUGAUGCAUUAUGGGCUUAUAGAACUGCAUAUAAAAAUCCUAUGGGUAUGUCUCCAUAUAAAAUGGUUUAUGGAAAAGCAUGUCACUUACCUCUCGAAAUAGAACAUAAGGCAUAUUGGGUCAUUAAAGAUCUCAAUUAUGAUUUCAAACUUGCCGGUGAGAAGAGGUUAGUUGACAUUAGCUCACUUGAUGAAUGGAGAACCCAAGCCAAUGAGAAUGCCAAACUGUUUAAAGAAAAAGUUAAAAGAUGGCAUGACAAAAGGAUACAAAAGCGUGAGUUUAAUGUAGGUGAUUAUGUGUUGCUAUUCAACUCUAGUUUAAGAUUUUUUGCAGGAAAACUUCUCUCUAAAUGGGAAGGUCCUUAUGUUAUCGAGGAGGUCUAUCGUUUUGGUGCCAUAAAAAUCAACAACUUCAAAGGCACAAGUCCAAAGGUGGUGAACGGCCAAAGGGUUAAACAUUAUAUCUCAGGUAAUACUAUAAAUGUUGAAACUAAUGUUAUUUAAACCGUAACCCCGGAGGAAUACAUAAGGGACACUUUCUAGAACGUCUCAGACUCCGAAAAGGAAUAGUUAUAUGGUACGGUAAGUAAACCGACUCCAAAACAGUUCUAAUAGCAAUUUUUCUCUAUUUUGGAAUAUUUAAGAAAAUAGGAAAAUAAGAAGUAGCCCGGGAAGGAUACGAGGCGUCCACGAGGGCGGAGGGCGCACCCUACCCCCCUGGGCACGUCCCCUGCCUCGUGGGCACCUUGUGUGCUCUCCGGACUCUUCUUGCACGAUACUUCUUUUGAUCGGUAAAAAUUCAUUAUAUAAUCACCCGAAGGUUUUGAACAAUGUAUCACACAAAUAUCCUCUGUCUUUGUUUCGAGCUGUUUUUUGUAAGAUUUGUCAAGGCCAGGCAUCAUGUCGUCACCGUCCUCCAACAAUGAAGGCAACGAUGCUUGGCUAAUGAAGAUGGAGCUGAAGAGAGAUGAACCCGAGGAGAUCAACAAGGAUGAUAGGAUCAAGAAGUUCACGGAGGAUCAAGCUCCGGCGGUAGAAGAAGAAGAAGACAAGCUUCAACCUCAUCACAACCUUCUCACCCCAACUAAGAUUGAAGCUUUCAAAACAAGUAUCUCACACGUGAAAAUAUUUUGUUGAAGGAGCAUAUCACCAUACUCAAGGGCAUUAUCUGCAAACUGGAGGAGCUCUGAUGCUCGAUGUGCGACUAUCCAUCAACACCACCACCUUCAUCACCUCCGAAGAAGGAGACAUAAACACAUGGGUAUGGGCACUCCCCUUGGCAAGUGCCAAGCUUGGGGGAGGUGCCCCGGUAUCGUAUCACCAUCACACUCCUAUCUUUACCGUUUUUCUUAUUCUGUCCCUUUUAGUAAUAUCUUGAUCUAGUAGAAUAAAGUUUUAGUAUGAUCUAGUUUUGACUUUUGCUUUAUGAUCCCUCUAUGUAGUUGAGUCUAUGAGCUAUAUAAUAAAGAUUAGUGUUGAGUCAAGGGCUUGAUUAUCUUACUUUGAUCUUGAGGGAAUAAAAGAAACAAUAAAAAGAAAUAAAAGAGAUCAUAUUGAUCUUAUGGUGAGUAACGACUUCACAUAUAAAGAGUAUGAUGAAUAAAAGUUGUUGAGAGUUGACAAACAUAGUUUUGGUCAUCUUUGCAAUUAAUAGGAAGUAAUAAAGAAAGAGAGGUUCUUACAUAUAAAUAUACUAUCUUGGACAUAUUUUAUGAUUGUGAGCACUCAUUAAAAUAUGACAUGCUAAAGAGUUGAUGUUGGACAAGGAAGACAACAUAAUGGGUUAUGUUUUCUUAUAUCUGAAAUAAAGUAUAUUGUCAUGGAUCAUCCAACAUGUUGAGCUUGCCUUUCCCUCUCAUGCUAGCCAAAUUCCUUCCACCAAGUAGAGAUACUACUUGUGCUUCCAAAUAUCCUUAAACCUAGUUUUGCCAUGAGAGUCCACCAUAUCUACCUAUGGAUUGAGUAAGAUCCUUCAAGUAAGUUGUCGUGUUGCAUGCAAUAAAAAUUGCUCUCUAAAUAUGUAUGACUUAUUAGUGUGGAGAAAAUAAGCUUUAUACGAUCUUGUGAUAUGGAAGCAAGAAAAGUGACGGACUGCAUAAUGAAGGUCCAUAUCACAAGUGGCAAUAUAAAGUGAUGUUAUUUUGCAUUAAGAUUUCGUGCAUACAACCAUAAAAGCACAUGACAACCUCUGUUUCCCUCUACGAAGGGCCUAUCUUUUACUUUUGUCUAAAACAUUAUGCAAGAGUCAUGGUGAUCUUCACCUUUCCUUUUUUAUAUUUUAUCCUUUGGCAAGCACCUUGUGNNNNNNNNNNNNNNNNNNNNNNNNNNNNNNNNNNNNNNNNNNNNNNNNNNNNNNNNNNNNNNNNNNNNNNNNNNNNNNNNNNNNNNNNNNNNNNNNNNNNNNNNNNNNNNNNNNNNNNNNNNNNNNNNNNNNNNNNNNNNNNNNNNNNNNNNNNNNNNNNNNNNNNNNNNNNNNNNNNNNNNNNNNNNNNNNNNNNNNNNNNNNNNNNNNNNNNNNNNNNNNNNNNNNNNNNNNNNNNNNNNNNNNNNNNNNNNNNNNNNNNNNNNNNNNNNNNNNNNNNNNNNNNNNNNNNNNNNNNNNNNNNNNNNNNNNNNNNNNNNNNNNNNNNNNNNNNNNUAAGUUAGCAUGAACUAUUAUUGUUGACAUUACCCUUGAGGUAAAAGGUUGGGAGGCAACAAUAUAAGCCCCUAUCUUUCUAUGUGUCCGAUUAAAACUUCAUUACCCAUAGGUAUUGCGUGAGUGUCAGCAAUUGUGAAAGACUAAAUGAUAGUUGAGUAUGUGGACUUGCUGAAAAGCUCUUAUAUUGACUCUUUCCUAUGUUAUGAUAAAUUGCAAUUGCUUCAAUGACCGAGAUCAUAGUUUGUUGGUUUUCAAUGAAGUUUCUGAUUCAUACUUGACAUUGUGGAUAGAUUAUUACUUGAGCAUAAGAAAUCAUAUGACAAUAUUUGUAUAUGUUGUUGUUAUAAGAAUGAUCAUGAUGCCCUCAUGUCCUUAAUUAUUUUAUCGACACCUCUAACUCUAAACAUGUGGAUAUAUUUUUCGAUUUCGGCUUCCGCUUGAGGACAAGCGAGGUCUAAGCUUGGGGGAGUUGAUACGUCCAUUUGCAUCAUGCUUUUAUAUCUAUAUUUAUCACAUUAUGGGCUGUUAUUACACGUUAUGUCACAAUACUUAUGCCUAUUCUCUCUUAUUUUACAAGGUUUACAUGAAGAGGGAGAAUGCCGGCAGUUGGAAUUCUAGGCUGAAAAAGGAGCAAAUAUUAGAGACCUAUUCUGCACAACUCCAAAAGUCCCGAAACUCCACGAAAGUUGUUUUUGGAAUUAAUAAAAAAUAUUGGGCGAAGAAAGUACCAGAGGGGGCCCACACCUUGGCCACGAGGAUGGGGGGCGCGCCCUAACCCCCUGGGCGCUCCCCUUCCUCCUGGGCCCCCUGGCAGUCCUCCGGUGGCCAGCUUCUGCUAUAUGAAGUCUUUUAACCUGGAAAAAAAUCAUAAGCAAGUUUUCGGGACGAAACACCGCUGCCACAAGGCGGAACCUUGGCGGAAUCAAUCUAGGGCUCUGGCGGAGCUGUUCUGCCGGGAAAACAUCCCUCUGGGAGGGCAAAUCGUCAUCAUCAUCAUCACCAUCAAUCCUCUCAUAGGGAGGGGGUCAAUCUCCAUCAACAUCUUCACCAACACCAUCUCCUCUCAAACCCUAGUUCAUCUCUUUUAUCCAAUCUUUGUCCCAUAACCUCAGAUUGGUACCUGUGGGUCACUAGUAGUGUUGAUUACUCCUUGUAGUUGAUGCUAGUUGGUUUAUUCGGUGGAAGAUCAUAUGUUCAGAUCCUUUAUGCAUAUUAAUACCGCUCUGAUUACGAACAUGAAUAUGAUUUGUGAGUAGUUACGUUUGUUCCUGAGGACAUGGGAGAAGUCUUGCUAUAAGUAGUCAUGUGAAUUUGGUAUUCGUUCGAUAUUUUGAUGAGAUGUAUGUUGUCUCUCCUCUAGCGGUGUUAUGUGAACGUCGACUACAUGACACUUCACCAUUGUUUGGGCCUAGAGGAAGGCAUUGGGAAGUAAUAAGUAGAUGAUGGGUUGCUAGAGUGACAGAAGCUUAAACCCUAGUUUAUGCGUUGCUUCGUAAGGGGCUGAUUUGGAUCCAUAUGUUUCAUGCUAUGGUUAGGUUUACCUUAAUACUUCUUUUGUAGUUGCGGAUGCUUGCAAUAGGGGUUAAUCAUACGUGGGAUGCUUGUCCAAGAAAGGGUAGUACACAAGCACCAGUCCACCCACAUAUCAAAUUAUCAAAGUAACAAACUCGAAUCAUAUGAGCAUGAUGAAAACUAGCUUGACGAUAAUUCCCAUGUGUCCUCGGGAGCGCUUUUCUCUAUAUAAGAAUUUGUUCAGGCUUGUCCUUUGCUACAAAAAGGAUUGGGCCAUCUUGCUGCACUUUAUUUACUUUCAUUACUUGUUACCCGUUACAACUAUCUAUUAUCGAUAAUUUUAGUGCUUGCAGACAAUACCUUACUGAAAACCGCUUGUCAUUUCCUUCUGAUCCUCGUUUGGUUUGACACUCUUACCUAUGGAAAGGACUACGAUAGAUCCCCUACACUUGUGGGUCAUCAAGACUCUUUUCUGGCACCAUUGUCGGGGAGUGAAGCGCCUUUGGUAAGUGGAACUUGCUGAAAUUUACUGUCACUUGUUACUAUGGAACAUAAUCCUUUGAGCGGCUUGUUCGGGGUAUCUUCACCCCGACCAGUAGAGCAAAGAGUUGCUCCUUGACACGUCUCCAACGUAUCUAUAAUUUUCGAUUGUUCCAUGCUAUUAUAUUACCCGUUUUGGAUGUUUAUGGUCUUUACUUUACAAUUUUAUAUCAUUUCUGGGACUAACCUAUUAACUGGAGGCCCAACCCGAAUUGCUGUUUUUUUGCCUAUUUCGGUGUUUCGAAGAAAAGGAAUAUCAAACGGAGUCCAAACGGAAUGAAACCUUCGGGAGUGAUCUUUUUGGAACAAACGUGAUCCAGAGGACUUGGAUUGGAAGUCAUGCAACAACCGAGGCGGCCAUGAGGGUGCCCGAUGCGCCCCCAGGGCUGGGCGCGCCCCCACCCUCAUGGGCCCCUCGGGCGUCCAUCGACCUACUUCUUCCUCCUAUAUAUACCCAUGUACCCCGGAAACAUCAUAAGCAACCACGAAAAAAUAUUUCCACCGUUGUAACCUUCUGUAUCCGCGAGAUCCCAUCUUGGAGCCUUCGCCGGUGCUCCGCCGGAGGGGGAAUCGACCAUGGAGGGCUUCUACAUCAACACCAUAGCCUCUCCGAUGAGUUGUGAGUAGUUUACCACAGACCUUCGGGUCCAUAGUUAUUAGCUAGAUGGCUUCUUCUCUCUAUUUGAAUCUCAAUACAAAGUUCUCCUCGAUCUUCUUGGAGAUCUAUUCGAUGUAACUCUUUUUGAGGUGUGUUUGUUGAUACGUGUCCAACAUAUCUAUAAUUUUUGAUUGUUCCAUGCUAUUAUAUUACCCAUUUUGGAUGUUUAUGGGCUUUACUUUACACAUUUAUAUCAUUUUUGGGACUAACCGGAGGCCUAGUCUGUAUUGCUGUUUUUUUUGCCUAUUUCAGUGUUUCGAAGAAAAGGAAUAUCAAACAGAGUCCAAACGGAAUGAAACCUUCGGGAGCAUGAUUUUUGGAACGAACGUGAUCCAGAGGACUUCGAGUGGAAGGCAAGAAAUAAACAAGGCUGCCACGAGGGUGGAGGGCGCGCCCCCCUACUGGGCGCGCCCCUUGUCUCGUGGGCCCGUCGGGCGUCCAUCGACCUACUUCUUCCUCCUAUAUAUACCCAUGUACCCCGAAAACAUCAGAAGCGACCACGAAAAACUAUUUCCACCACCGUAACCUUCUAUAUCCGCGAGAUCGCAUCUUGGAGCCUUCGCUAGCGCUCCGCCGGAGGGGGAAUCGACCACAGAGGGCUUCUACAUCAACACCAUAGCCUCUCCGAUGAGUUGUGAGUAGUUUACCACAGACCUUCGGGUCCAUAGUUAUUAGCUAGAUGGCUUCUUCUCUCUCUUUGAAUCUCAAUACCAUGUUCUCCUUGAUCUUCUUGGAGAUCUACUCGAUGUAACUCCUUUUGCGGUGUGUUUGUCGAGAUCCGAUGAAUUGUGUGUUUGUGAUCAAGUUUAUCUAUGAGAAAUAUUUGAAUCUCCUCUGAAUUCUUUUAUGUGUGAUUAAGUUAUCUUUGCAAGUCUCUUCGAAUUAUUAGUUUGGUUUGGCCUACUAGAUUGAUCUUUCUUGCAAUGGGAGAUGUGCUUAGCUUUGGGUUCAAUCUUGCGGUGUCCAUUCCCAGUGACAGCAGGGGCAGCAAGGCACGUAUUGUAUUGUUGCCAUCAAGGAUAAAAAGAUGGGGUUUGUAUCAUAUUGCAUGAGUUUAUCCCUCUACAUCAUGUCAUCUUUCUUAAUGCGUUACUCUGUUCUUUAUGAACUUAAUACUCUACAUGCAUGCUGGAUAGUGGUCGAUGUGUAGAGUAAUAGUAGUAGAUGCAGGUAGGAGUCGGUCUACUUGUCACAGACGUGAUGCCUAUAUACAUGAUCAUGCCUAGAUAAUCUCAUAAUUAUUCGCUUUUCUAUCAAUUGCUCGACAGUAAUUUUUUCACCUACCGUAAUACUUAUGCUAUCUUGAGAGAAGCCACUAGUGAAACCUAUGGCCCCCGGGUCUAUCUCUUAUCAUAUAAGCUUUCAAUAUACUUUUAUUUGCAUCUUUACUUUUCCUAUUAGUGUAUUGGGAGUGACUCUUUGUUACAUGUUGAGGGGUUAUUAUAUGAUCUAAUUAUGUUAUUAUUGUUGAUAGAAUUUGCACUAGUGCAAGUAUGAACCCUAGGCCUUGUUUCCUAGCAUUGCAAUACCCUUUACGCUCACUUUUAUCAUUAGUUAACUUGCUGUUUUUAUAUUUUUCAGAUUACAAAAACCUAUAUCUGCCAUCCAUAUUGCAAUUGCAUCACCAUCUCUUCGUCGAACUAAAGCACCUAUACAAUUUACCAUUGUAUUGGGUGUGUUGGGUACACAAGAGACUCUUUGUUAUUUGCUUGCAGGGUUUUUUGAGAGAGACCAUCUUCAACCUACGCAUCCCACAGAUUGAUAAACCUUAGGUCAUCCACUUGAGGCAAAUUUGCUACUGUCCUACAAACCUCUGCACUUGGAGGCCCAACAACGUCUACAAGAAGAAGGUUGCGUAGUAGACAUCAGUCCAAUCCACCUCGUCCUGGGCAAAGGCCUCGAUCCAGUCCAUCCGACCGCGCAAACGGCGGCUGACGGCCUCCAUCGCCGCCUCCUCCUGGGUCUGGGGCCUGAAGACUACGCCGGCCCCGCCCCGUGCUGGCAGCGACCCGGCGGGCCGAUGUCCCCCUGGCCUGGGCACUAGGGCACGCUCUUCGCCGGCCGCUCCCCCCGCAGCCGACAUCUCCUCCGACACCCUCUCCAACGCCACCACCGGCUCAGCAGCCGAGGUAGCCUGCGGCGGCACCGCUAGCUCGACAGUCGGGGUGGCCUGCGGCGCCACCACCCGCGGCGCCUUGCUCGCCGACGCCUGGGGCGUCCCCUGUGGCGCCAUCCGAGGCGCUUCCUCUAAGGCGGCGUCACUGAUAACCCACAAGUAUAGGGGAUCGCAACAGCUUUCGAGGGUAGAGUAUUCAACCCAAAUUUAUUGAUUCGACACAAGGGGAGCCAAAGAAUAUUCUAGAGUAUUAGCAGUUGAGUUGUCAAUUCAACCACACCUGGAUAACUUAGUAUCUGCAGCAAAGUAUUUAGUAGCAAGACUGGUAUGAUAAUAAUGGUAACAGUAGCAACAGAAAAGGUAAAUGUUUUUGGGUUUUCGUAGUAGUUGUAACAGUAGCAACGGAAAAGUAAAUAAGCGAAGAACAAUAUAUGAAAAGCUCGUAGGCAAUGGAUCAGUGAUGGAUAAUUAUGCCGGAUGCGAUUCCUCAUGCAAUAGUUAUCCCAUAGUUAUAACAUAGGGUGACAUAGAACUAGCUCCAAUUCAUCAAUGUAAUGUAGGCAUGUAUUCCGUAAAUAGUCACACAUGCUUAUGGAAAAGAACUUGCAUGGCAUCUUUUGUCCUACCCUCCCGUGGCAGUGGGGUCCUAGUGGAAACUAAGGGAUAUUAAGGCCUCCUUUUAAUAGAGAACCGGACCAAAGCAUUAACACAUAGUGAAUACAUGAACUCCUCAAACUACGGUCAUCACCGAGAAGUAUCCCGAUUAUUGUCACUUCGGGGUUGUCGGAUCAUAACACAUAAUAGGUGACUAUAGACUUGCAAGAUAGGAUGAAGAACACACAUAUAUUCAUGAAAACAUAAUAGGUUCAUAUCUGAAAUCAUGGCACUCGGGCCCUAGUGACAAGCAUUAAGCAUAGCAAAGUCAUAGCAACAUCAAUCUCAGACCAUAAUGGAUACUAGGGAUCAAACCCUAACAAAACUAACUUGAUUACAUGGUAAAUCUCAUCCAACCCAUCACCGUCCAGCAAGACUAUGAUGGAAUUACUCACGCACGGCGGUGAGCAUCAUGAAAUUGGUGAUGGAGGAUGGUUGAUGAUGACGACAGCGACGAAUCCCCCUCUCCGGAGCCCCGAACGGACUCCAGAUCAGCCUUCCCGAGAGAGAUUAGGGCUUGGCGGCGGCUCCAUGUCGUAAAACGCGAUGAAACUUUUCUCUGAUUUUUUUCUCCCAGAGACGGUAUAUAUGGAGUUGGAGUUGAGGUCGGAGGAGGUCCGGGGGGCCCAUGAGAUAGGAGGGCGCGCCCCUAGGGGGGGCACCCCCAUGUCUCGUGGACAGCCCGUGGCCCCCCUGACCUUGAUUCUUUCGCCAAAAAAUCUUAUUAAAUAUGAAAAGUGCCUCCGUGGAUUUCUAGGACAUUCCGAGAACUUUUUUUUCUAUCAGAAGAGUGGGCGGAUAAGGUGAAAGACCACAAAAGCUUCAAGAACCAGUUAGUUAUGGCAUUUAACAUAUGUAGAGCUACAUCUUGAGUGGACAAAUAGAAAUGUGGAACUUUCUUGGAGAAUUUUCAAUAAAAUUAACACAAUAAAACAUAUGGCAAUACUAGAAUAGAAUGACCAGUAUUGUUCAAGUAUUUAAUAAACACAGAUGAAGGAUAGCUCCAAAGCCUGUGAAAAUCCAGCAAAUAAAGUGAUCAGCUGGCAACAAGACAAGGAGAGGAACUGUGUUCCAUCCAUGACAACCCACGGGGUCGAUCAACCCUGCUAACCGCAUCAUGUAGAAAGCAUGUUCUGAAAUUUUGGUACCAGCAGAAGCUUGGUUCAGAACUUCAAAAUAAUGUCUUAAACCCAAAUGUGAUUAAAGCAACGAGUUACAAUUUUAUUUCAAGAACACAAUAUGCACUCAAGAUUGUUAUGUGACCUUUUUUCAGUUAGAACAGUAGGUGGAUAAGGUAGUGACCACAACCUCAUCACUGACGGUCUGACAAUGCACCACGAUGGCUCGAAGACCGUCGCCGCCACCAUCGUCCCCUCCGGCAUCUCCGGCCACUCCGGCUACUCGCCGGCUCACGCCCAGGUCGCUGCAGCGUUGGACCAGGCCUGGACCGAUGCCGCCUCCAGCUCCGCCUCGGCUCUGUUCUGGUCUCGCCAGGCCAAGCUUUCGGCGUCGGCUGGGUCCAUGCCAAGAUCCGGAUCCGCCGGCUCCUCCUCCUUGUCCCGAUUGACGGUGCUGGACCGGCUCCUCUGGAACGCGGCGCCCUUGGUGGACGCGGCGUCCACUGCCGCCCUCGCCAGCGCGAUCGGUGACCUAAAGACCAAGAUGAAGUAAAUAAAAGGCAAGGCCGCUCGGCCACUCGGAUGCAAGUAAGAGAAGAACUUACCCCGACAGUACCAGAAUGGCCGGCCUCUCCUGCGCAACGCCGCGCCUCCUCUUGGCGGCCGGCCUUGCGCCCCCGGCCGGGUCCACCGCUCGUUUCACGGACGGAGACUACGGCACGACGUUGUCCUUCCCGUGCAACCAACUCCACGCCGGCACCCCCCGCGACGACUCGGCAUCACCCGCGCUGCCGCCUCCUCCGCCCAGCACCACUACAUCAACGGCCUGCGUCAGCACUGCCUGUGCCGCGUCGCGCCCGACAACUCAAGGAUGUGGAAAGCAAAACUUACCCGCGUGGCGCCCUGCGUCGACGUCAGCGGCCUCCUCCUCCCCUCCGCCAUGGGCCGUGGGCUCCUCCGAUCUGGCCCGCACCACCUGCGACGGCGCCCGGGCGUAAGGAUGCCAAUGGCGUUCACAAGCACCUCCCGCGGCACAUCGGGACAGAUAAGAAGAUGCGCAGCAGCAAAAUACGGAGACCAGUGACUCACCGUGGGCGCCGGAUUCGUGUGGCUGUAUGGCAGCUUGCCGAACUGCGAGUAAUCCUGCAGCGUGCCCUUGGAGAUGUCGUUGACCCGGCGCGUGAUUGGCCCACCCCCAAGCGCAUGUCCGACAUGCGGUUGGGAUCCUAAAGAUCGGUCAUCUGGCCGAUAAGGCAGCUGCGCCGUUGCAGUGGCAGGACCCGACGCAUAAUGAAGACGGCGAUGAGGUCGGUGCCGGUGCGCCCCUCCCGCGCCUUCAUCUCUGACACCCGCUCGCAGAGGUUGAGUAUCUCCUGCGACGGGUGCCUGGGGUAAUAACCCUAGUUACGCUUCGCCUGGGGCGGCGCGCUGACGAAGGGCGGCAGGUUGAUACGAUCCGCGCCAAGGUUGCGGACGUAGAAGAAAGAAUUCUGCCAUUUCUUGGUAGAAUCCUCCAGCAGAAUCUUGGGGCAAUCGGCGCCCGACCGCUUCGAAAUGAUGGCGGCCCCGCAGUCUGAGAACUCCUUGGCGUUCGGCCCCUGCUGCUUCAAAGAGAAGAAGCACACCCAGAGGUCAAUCUAAGGUUCGACCCCUAGGUACCCCUCACAGAGGGUGACGAAGCCCGAGAGCUGCACGAUGGCGCCGGCGCCAAGAUGAUGGGGCUGGAGCCCGAAGAACUCUAGGAAGUCACGGAAGAUGGCGCUCGCAGGAAGGCCGAGCCCGCGCUUGAAGUACGGGAAGAAGAUGACGCGUUCCGUGCCCUCGGGCAGCGGUUCUCGCUCGCCCUGCGGCAGGCGCACGGCAACCUCCGUCUCCCCCGGCAAGCGCCUGGUGGUGCGGAGGUAGGCGAUGUCAUCGGGGGUGACGGUCGAGCCCAUCCAUGUGCCCGACGGCAGCGCCAUUGACGGAGAUGGAAAAGAAAGAGAAAAGGUGAAUGGCGAUGGAGCUCUGCUCGAAGCGGCGGGCGUUGCAGCGCGACGGUCACAGGAAGUAGAGUGAGGACGAAGAGGCAAGGGGGCGAGAGCAAGAAUGAUGUCCGCCGCCCCCUCGCCCCAAUUUGUAGCCCCGGUUUGAAACGUGGGGAAGUGGGAUCGUUUGCGCUCGCUCCUCCCACUUCCCUGCAAUAAGUGCGCACGUACGCGCACAAUAGCUACAUGGGGAAGAUCAACUGACUUGUGGAUGCCGCAACAAAUGCACGCGCGUGGGCCAAGGGCACGUGGCGGCGGGCCCCAGCACGGAGCCCAGUCCCAUCACACGUGUGGCCUGUCUGGCCCCUCCGGCUUCCAGGCGCCACGUGGCGCCCACACGAAGCCCGAGGGAUUGCCCCAAGAUUCGACGGACCCUCCGGUUUCCCGCCGCUACCGGGAUGUCGCGAUCCGGUUUCCAGAAACUGGCACACAGUGGGUGUUGCUGGACCCGACGGCCGCAAGAUUCGCCUCUACAAGAGGGGAAACUGUGAAGGCUCCCCCAUCCAAAGACGGCGGAACUCCACAGCUUCGGGGAAUACUGUCGGGGGGAUGAACCCCGGGCAGGCAACAAAACCUGGAUCCUUUUCAAAAACAACGGGGCCAGCAUCGCCCCUCAAGUCGGCCUGCGCUUGGCCGGGUCGCUCAACCCGGCCAAGCCCCUCGACCCGGCUGAACUCUCCGACCCGGCCAAGCUCCUCGACUCGGCCCCAACAACCAACUCAAAGCAGCCGAACCCGGCACGCCAAGACUUCCCCAACAAGUCAGCUCCACCCAGCCACGGGUCAGCUCCCGUCCCAUCUAGGCCGUACGAUGGGACAAGUCUCCAUCCACCGAAGACCGAGGCAACAGUGCCCCGCCCAUGCUUUUGGUCAGCCGGAGCGUGGCAACAGUGCCCCUCACCUACCCGCUGACCAGGACCGGUGUGGCAACAGUGCCCCCAUCGUCACCGCUGACGCUAGCAAGCGGCGACCUGACGGAGCGCCACUGUACCCGACUCAACUUGGCCACUCCCUGAUGAUCGACAAGACGACGCACAGUGCCCCUAGGCAAGCGGGGCCCACGCCUAGGGGAACCAGGCGAACCACGAGCACUCGGCGGGUCCCAGCACCGGGUUCCCAGACACUGCGACCCGGCUCUACGGCGUAGUAGCAUUACCAUUGUACCCCUGGAAGGUUGGCCUAUAAAACCCCCCAGGAGCCCUCAUGCAUACAGGAAAGCACACAGGAAAAUAGCCAACCAAUCAGUAGAACACACGUAGGGAGAAGAGCACCCUAAGCCCUGGCCAGUCUUCCUUCUUCCUCCAUACAGCUCUAGGAGCAGCUAUGUACUGUUACAUAUAAACCACUCUCGGCAGGACUAGGGGUAUUAUCUCUCCGGAGAGCCCCGAACCUGGGUAUGUCUUGCGUCCCGCGCUCGCUCAUGCCAACCUCGCCUCUGGAGCCAACUAGUGCCCUCGAGCCUCCUCCUCUCUUUAGCCAUCCCAUGGCAUCUGCCGUGCGCCCACCAUGACAAGGAAGAAGAGAAGAAGACACGGUUUCACUGAAUCGAUGCGAGAGGAUAAUGUAUAGGAUAGGACCAACACAGUUUCUAGAGUCCAUGAGAAACAUCUAGUCAAGUCUAAACCAAUGAAAAAACUAGCGCUAGCAAAAUAGUGUCACCUUUAAAAUACACUACUAACGAGAAAUUAUACACUGGUUUAUUUAGCGAAGCAUUGGUUAGAACGUCUGUAGGGUGCUCUUAGCGAUGCUAUUUUUCAGUGAUCUAGACACACUACAAGACCGGGGUGAACUAUGUUACACAAAUGAAGAGUGAACCAGAGAAAAAGUCUGACACACGUCAUUCAUGUACACUGAUAUCUAGCGAAGCAUUGCUCGGAACGCAAUAGCAUGCUAUUAGCGAUGUAUAGUGUGCUACUUUUUCAAUGGUCUAAACACACUACAAAACUGGAACUGAACUGCGUUAAAAAAGAAGAGUGAAGCGGAGGAAAAAUCGGACACACUCACUCAUGUACACUGAUUUAUCUACCGAGGGGUUGCUCAGAACACUAUAACAUGCUAUUAGCGUGUAUUUUUUCUGUGAUCUAAACACACUACAAAACUGGGACUGAACUGUUAAAAAAUGAAGAGUGAACCGGAAAAGAGUUGGAAACACGUCGCUCAUGUACACUGAUUUGUCUUGCGAGGCAUUACCUAGAACGCUAGCGAUGCUAUAUCUUUUAUUUUUCAACGGUGUAAACACAUUACAAAACUGGGACUGAACUGUGUUAAAAAAGAAGAGCGAACCGGAGAAAAAAAAUGGACAAACAUGUCACUCGUGGAAGAGCUCUGUGCUAGCACUGGAAAUGCAAAGGAGGCGUGGAAGCUUAGCCUGUUUAAUUCUCUUAGCCACCUCCCAUAGUUUGGGGGAAUUCAGACGUCCAGACCAGUCCGUAGAUCGAUUGGGUACCACAUUGGUUCGCAAACCGAGUCCAGGCAACUACGUCCAUGCAUAUGUUUUGUUCGAGGGUCUGUGUUGAAGAUGUAGAUGAGGUGCUGAGCGUUUCAACUAAAGUCUGAGUGCAUAGAUGCUUAUCUUUUUAUGGAUAAGCACCCUUCAUUUAAUUGUUUAGCAACUAAUUUCUUUUAUGCAUGGAUGAACUUUCAUCACUUAAAUGUUUUGCAUUGUUUUUUUUAUUUGAGUCAUCAAAAUGCUCUCUCUCCUUCCUAAUUGUCUUGUCAUAUCAUGUUUUACUUAUGUGGCAUGAUUAGCACUUAUACAUGGUAGAUCAACAAGAAGAGCCUUUUUUUUGCAUGACACCGAGAUGAGCCUCAAUGGACCCAUAUUUACGAGUUUAUAUUAAUUUCCUAGAUGCAACGCUAGUCCAUCUGACCAUCUCUGUAUACAUAACCAUGCAUGAUAAUUUACUAGCAAAAGAGCCCGUGCGUUGCAACGGGAGAGAAAAUAAAACACGUUCUUAACCCAAUAACCAUAACUCAAGACCCUAAUGUGUUCACGUCCUUUAUUUUCACCUGGCAUCACAUUUGUGUUAUUGAUGGUGGUCUCAGUGCUCACACAACGAAAGCAUGUUUGAAUGCGGUCAGUUCUAAGGUGUCUCUCCCGCGCACACUCGCUUGAAAUAAAAUGAGAAAUAUGUUAUUUUUCCCCGCGAGAUUUUUCACAAGUGUGCAUGCGUGGUUAUCGAUGUUUUCUUUCCUCUCUAUUAGUAAGGAAGAAAAAGAAUCGUACAUCAUAGAUUAAGUUCACACCAAAAAAUAUUUUAAAAAUAUUUAACAGCUAAAAAUAGCAUCAUAUUUAGAUUCUACAUAUUUUUCUAAUCAAGUUUCAUAUAUAACAUGUUAAAAUCGAAGUUACAGUUUAGAAGAUAUUGAUAAUUUUGUUUUAGAUAAACUGCGGAUUGAUUAACCGAAAAGUCAGGGGAUUUUAUGUUAAACAAAAAAAUGAUUCGGUUGACUUAAAUAUGGACGACGGGUUGAUUACCUAAAACAGCAGGGGGUUUUUCGAGAAAAUACAAAAAACGGUUUAGGAGUGAUUUAAAUGUGUACCGCGGGUUUAUUUACGGAAAACCGAAAGACUUUUUUGCAAAAUGUACGACGGACGACCAGAAACCCAAUUUGCUCCCCCGCAAAGGAAUUUAUUUUUUCCCUUCAUUCAAUUUUUCGUUUCAUUUACAGACUCAACCCUGAUCGACAGAAACAUCUAAGAUCAACACGCUGCAUUGAUUAGGGGGCAAGAAGGUAGCACUGGCAGGACCUAUGGGCAAUUCGGGAUGCACUCGUCCAACGUUGGCCAGCAAGGAUAAUCCUUCAACGUUGCGCAACAGAACUUGUUGUGGACAAGGUCAUACAUCCUCCGAAAGCACCUUAUUUUUGGUGACGAGAUGUGGUCGUUGCUAGUCUCGUCAUCCGAAAGACGAAGACCACCUGAUCUGCCGAUCUCACU
rnacentral:lncRNA from 1 species